rnacentral:lncRNA from 1 species
GACCCUUAGGAGCUUGUCAUGCGGUUAAAAUCAAGAUUCACUUGCACGUUCACUCAUACAUGCUCCUUCUACUCCCGUAGUACGCAUCCACAUACAUCCACUCAUUUCCAUAUCCAGAUUCACCCAAAAUUAUUCUACUCCUAUCUAGGAGAGAAUAGCUAAAAACAUUAUCCUAUCCCUGUUAUUACUCGUGAAAUAAAUGCUCGAGAUAUUUUGGUUACUACCACAUGCUACAUUAUUCCAGGAGGGUGAGUGCUCUGAAAAAAAGUGAAUACGAGGAAAUAAAAAGGGGCAAGUGCCCGAAACCUCGAAAGAAAAGAGAAAAAGUGAGACGAGAGGUAAAAAUGGACAAGUGUCCGACAGUAGAAUUAGGGGUACAAGAUACCCACCUGAGAGAAAAUAAAAAUAAAAUAUAGAGCGUCUCAUUCCCCUCAAAAGCUUCAAGUGCAAGAAAGGUAUGUACCCCUCAAAAGAGCAAAAGUAGAAUGUAUCUGAAGCUCAUAUCUGAAGCUCAUAGGUGGGUGAUAGCUAAACCAUGGAUCCAGAAAAACAAGUCAAUAAGUCAAAUCAAGUUGUACAUGUGUGGCGAAUGAAUGGUGAUAAUGGUGAAAAUAAUGGUGAAAGUCUAAUUCUACUUUUGCUCUUUUGUGGGGGUACAUACCUUUCUUGCACUUGAAGCUUUUGAGGGAAAUGAGACGCUGUAUAUUUCAUUUUUCUUUUCUCUCAGGUGGGUAUCUUGUACCCCUAAUUCUACUGUCAGACACUUGUCCAUUUUUACCUCUCGUCUCACUUUUCUCUUUUUUUGAGGUUUCGGGCACUUGCCCCUUUUUAUUUCCUCGUAUUCACUUUUUUUCAGAGCACUCACCCUCCUGGAAUAAUGUAGCAAGUGGUAGUAACCAAAAUAUCUCGAGCAUUUAUUUCACGAGGAACAACAGGGAUAUGAUAAUGUUUUUGGCUAUUCUCUCCUAGAUAGGAGUAGAAUAAUUUUGGGUGAAUCUGGAUAUGGAAAUGAGUGGAUGUAUGUGGAUGCGUACUACAGGAGUAGAAGCAGCAUGUAUGAGUGAACGUGCAAGUGAAUCUUGAUUUUAACCGCAUGACAAGCUCCUAAGGGUCUACACAGCUUGACCACACUCAAUGCUCAUAAGCAGUAAAAAGUAAAUGUAUGGUUCAUAGUCUAAUAAGCUUGUAUAUAUGGAUGUGGUAGGAUUUUAAAUUCUCAUCAUACAGGAACUCAUCAUGCAACAUUUUAAUGAUUUUCAAAGAUAAAAUUCUCUAGAAUUCUAGCAUCUCUAGGAACAGAUAAACAACAGCUCAACCUUCCCAUAUCAUAUCUGUUAACGACUUAGACUUUUGAUCAGGUACUCUUCCCACAAAUUCAGGUUUAGAGCAAGCUUUCAAUUAUAACAGUUAUGCCUAAACUUGAGAGAGAGCUCAAAUUUGAAAACUAGGUACUUGGCAGAGCAAAUAUUCAUCAUAUCCAUGUAAGAGUUUAUCAUUGAAGUUCAGUUUGGCAUAGACACUUUAUUUAUUUAUUUAGCAAACUAAGCAAAGAUAUAUAUAAGCACAAAAUGUUUAAUUGGGUUUUGAUGAUUAUGCAUUUUUUUAUUAUUUGAGUAAAGUAUAAAUGUGAGUAGAAACACUUAGCUAGAUAAAUGGGGGUGCUCUCCCCCAAGCUGGAUUUUAACGUAAUUUCUUCUGAUGUAGCUAGCAGGUGGCGUAGGUGUAUUUGAAUGUUGGCAGCACCCUGAUAGCGAUUAGGAUAUCCUCCGUCUCCUAGUCUUCCUUGAUCCUUGAAUUUUGUGGAGCUCAAAUGGACAACAAAGCUUUGUGGAACUGGUUAAGUGUUAGCAUAAAAUCUCUUAGCCUUUAUCAUGUCGAGCUUCCUCUAAUAAAUAUUACUCUCUUUAGUAGGAUCAUAAAUUUAUUUUUAUGUUUUCAUUUUUACAAGACAAGAAUAUAUUUAUUUUAUUUUUACGCCACCACAGUGAAUGGGUUUGAUGCCACGAGCAUACUCACAAGGGGCUUACUGUUUUUAACAUUUUUAUUUUCUUUUCAAGAUAUCAUCAUUAACUAACAAGCUAUUUAAGGAAAGUAAAUAAUUUAAGAAAAAAGGGAAUGCAGAAAGGAUAGUUAUGGUUAACUACUGAUUUUACCUUUCGGCGAGGGUUCACUGUUUAAGUCUUCUGAACAAGACUUCUCACCGUGUUCAUUCUUUAGGUGCGUCAUUUGAGUUGGGUGUGGACCUUGACAUCUGCACCUCUUGAUACGGUGUCACCCAUGUUUUUCGUUUGCCCAGCAGUUCGAAGUGCGGCGUUGGCAGCAUCCUCCUCAGUGUGUUUGUGCUCGUAGAUCGCUCUUAGAUCCAGGUCCUUCACUUGGUAGAGUCUAGGAGUUGGAAAACUCCUCCAUGUUUUGCUCGAAGUGUAUCCUGCUCAUAGAGACAAGGCAAAGAUCAAGUACAUGAGCCCUGUUGGUGGAAAACACCAACAGAACCAAAAGUGUACUUGUUCUUCUCUAACCUUAAGCAUAGUGAGCAAGACAAAGUUGUUGGAUGAUAAGAUCAUGAGUGUAGCAUUUAAAACAUUUGUCAGAUCAGAUCACUCAACCUUAUGGAAAGAUAAUCUAUCUAAGUAAAUGUUUUUUUUUCUUUACAUGACUAUCAUUUUCCAAAGAUCAGAUGUGCAACAUUUUAUCUCAUAUGGUUAAGCGUGUGGGAUCAAGAAGGUAGUACCAGAAACAAAGAUUAAAGGACUAAACAUGUUGAAUCAAUUGGGUUGGUUAAUUUGGGGUUAUAAAUCAUACAUGUUUGUCUUUUUAUCCAUGUGCAUGCCUGAAUCAAGGAGAAGCUUAUAACAAUGACAGUCACAUGCCUUAAGAUGUUACCUUAAUUGAAGAGUGAUGGUACAAUAUCACCUUGUGGAAGCUUUUCUUUCUCAAUGGUUGUGCAUCUUGUUCGUGGCACUAUUCGUCUCGUUCCAUGGAUUAUCUCUCGAGCUAUGUCUUUCUUGUGCAAAUUGUUAAACUUCAUGUGUCUCCUUCUUUAUCUCUAUUCUGAAUUUAUCUCAGGACUUCUCAAAUCAAUAUUGAAAAUUUUCCUGCAGGAGUUAGUCUAACAAAAUAUACCAGUGUCUACACAAGCAGUUUUUAGUUCAAUAACCAAACUAGACUCUAUGUCUAAUCGGAUUAAGGAAGGUUAUUUAACCUAAGCACCAUGCUUAAUUUAAAUGCCAAUGGAAGUAUGUCGAGUACUUUCAAACCAACAAUUACUUGUGAAUAGACAAAGGUAGCAUGACAAUAUUAUAGAGAUCUACUCAAGUGGGGAUGAAGUAGAAUGAUUAGUGUUUAACAAACUGAGCAUGUCUUAAGGGUAGGGACAACCAACAUAGCAACAUGACAAAGGAUGUUUUUGUGUAAGGUAUUCCCACCAGCUUUGGGACAGAACCGCCCAAUUUAUACAAGCUUAAGUACGACUGUCCCCGUUUAACACGUUGACACGCGCAUACUCUCACUUAUAUAAACCCGGUAAUCUGCCGAGUGUCACGAAGGACCUCGGUAAAUCAACUUUACACCAAGAUCGCAUGAUUAAGCAAAUACACAUCACAUACACAGAGAUUUGCAGCGGAAAUAAUAUUACAAAAGAGUUCACAAAUAAUAAUACAAGUUUGGAUUUCCAAAUUGGUUAGAAAACAACAUAGCUUUCAAAUUAUUACAAUAACAUAAGUUUCAAAUACAUUGCUAGCAUAAGUGACAUCCUCCGACAAAAGCAUGUAGAUGAGAACACUAUAUAGAAUCACCGAGCCCACCGGCUGUUAGCCACCAUCUUUAGCAGACUAAAAACUUCACCUGCAACAUGGUGGGAUAAACCCUGAGUACUCGAAUGUACUCAGCUAGACUUACCCGACAGGAGAGAAAAUAAAAGACUCUCAAGGAUAUCCAAGGCUUUUUGGUGGAGUUGGUUGGAUAGCAUAACUUUGCCAAAAAGAGCAUUACUAUCAUGAGUCCUUACUUUCAACCUUUUAGUCAAUAUUUUAGCAUCAAGUUCAAUUAAGCUACCAUAGCUAGAUUUUGCACCUAUUCUAUAGCAACCACUUGAUUAUUAAGCAUCACAUUAAUAACCAUAUCCAGUUUAUCAUGUGCCAUCAUGAUCAUCAUAACCAUCAAGUUUCAUUUAGUUUAUCUAUGUUGCCGCUGCCCGAGUAAAGUUCUCACUAUCCGGGAGAGACGGCGAUUCGAAUCGAUUCCUAUCCAGCUGGAGGGGUAUUCCUAGCACUCACCCAGGCAUACUUAGCUAGAGUAGCUUGGAUCACCUUUAGCACAACUCCGGACCAAUUCUCCGGUCCGAACGGCGCCGCACCCCCAGGGACCGCCAAUCAGCCAGGGUCAGGACUCUAACCUGACACCUCGGUCUUACGCCAUUGACUCCCCGCACAUCCUUACUACCAACCGGGAUGCGCACUUAAACCGAACGGGGUAUCCGGCCGGAGAUGCACUCAUAGGCUUCGCGGUCGGACCGACUUAUCCGGCCAACUAAGUGAUAGGCAUGCGUUCAACAUGACACGGGGACGUACAGUGAUUCGGUCCUUAAACGACACAGACGGGGAUAGAUUCACACCCAAGACCUCCAUGCCUUGUUGCUGCACUAUCGUCAUCCCGCCCGGUCUCAAGUUCAUUAUUAGCACAUGGUUAUUUCCACGAUAGCAAAUAUAGCCAACCGUGAUCAGGUAUCCACCUAUCUCUCGCAGGUGACAGGAAAUCACCUGGCUUCUACCGAGCUAAGCAUAGCUAAGCAUAGAAUGUCUUCCUUAUACUAGUAAGGGUUCAGGUAGUUUCAUAUAGUGGACAAGGUAGGAAUUAUGCACCAACGGUUUCAUUCAACUCCUAUCACCUAAUGCAUCAUAUAAUGUUAUACUCUUGUGCUUUUAUAAAAAUAGAGGGUAGGAGACUUAGAAUGCUCCGGGGCUUGCCUGGAAUCCGACACAAGUCAGUUAAGUUAGCUUGCGCCAUCUUGACGGCAUUCAAGUUCACAACACUUGUGUAGUCCUUCCAUCACCCCGAUAGGUCCACCAUCACGUCCUUCACGUGGUUCAUCUAGCGUACCUAAAUGAGAUGCAAGAUGCAAGUGCAUGAACAUAUAGAAGUGCAAUAGACAAAGCAUCACACACAAGAAGCAUGGCAAGAGCAUGGUUACACUAAACAUACUUAAGCACAUCUCACUGCUCACUUAAUGAUUACACAACCAACAUGCUAAGUCAACAAAGAAUGCAACACUAAACAUAUUAGACAUGGCAUACAUAUUUCACAAGGUCUCAGGUAUAUUAACUUGGCCAUUACCAAGGACAUGAGUCAUACAUAGCAAUAUACCAAGCAAGAACAAUAAAAGGAAUCUGUCAUUUUUAGGACUGUUAACAGCAGCUGAGAAAAUAAAUCAUAACUGGAGUUACACAACUCCAAAAGAUAUGCAAGAAGACAUUCUGGAAAGCUUAAGAAAUUAUCUACAUUUCGUCGUUAUACAUCAAAGCAUGAUUCAUAAGUUUGGUAGGUCGAAAUAUUGGAAUUACAGAAUCAGGUCCUAACAAGACAGAGAGCAACCAUUUCUGAAAUCCAACUUUGAACAGUCAUAACUUACAAACCAUAAGGCUAAAUACUACCAAAAUUUAACAGCAGCUAGAUAUAUUAAUUAUCUACAACUUUUCUAUAAACAAGAUUCUCUUAAAACAUAAUUUACACAUUGUAAUCCCAACAGUUCUAGAAACUGUCCAGAAACCAGAAUUGCAACAAUUAAUUAUUAACUUAUGUUUCAAACAUGCAUUUGAGCAAAACCUUUGUCACCAAUAGUUUUCAUAUUUCUAAAGAACACCAGAAAACAUAGUGGUCAUUACCAAAUAAAUUUAUUUAAUGCCUUUCUUAAUUUAUUUGGAUAAUAAGGUGAAUUAAAGAACAUAUAUCAAACAUGCACAGUAUAUUCUACAAAUAUUACAGUAGAUUCUACAUACUAUCCAUAGUCUACUGUAUAAAUUUCACUGCAUUUGAAUAAGCAUAGCAACAUCUAUUAAAAAGACAAAUUGCUAUUGCAAUUAACCAUGUGAGAGCAAGAUAAAUGCACAAAUCAUAUUUUCUUCAAACACAUGGCCAUAACAUGCAUAAACAUGAGACAAAAAUAUCAUAGGAUUGUAUUGGAACAACAUUUUCCAUUUUUACAUUUUUAUUUAUACUUAUAAACCAUUUAUCAAAAUCCAUAAAGAUAUCUCUGUCCAAAACAUGGACAGAAUCUAUCAUCUCAUAUUUAACAGCCAUAACUUGAGUUUCACAUGUCCAUAAAUUAUGGUUAUGUACUUUCUAGAAAGCUUACUAAAUUUUGAACAACUUUGUUAUAAACAUCUAGAGCUAAAUCUACCACUAACAAGGACUUACGUAACAAACAAUGUAUUGCUGUCUGGGUUUAGACAGAAACUGAAAUAGUAAUUUAAACCACUAUAACUAAAGAUAUGCUUAACUAAAAAUUAUGCUAUUUAGCUUGAUGGAAAGCUUAUGAAAAGUACUACAACUCAUAUAUUUUCAUCCAGGCAUGAUUCACAACCUAACUGAGCCAAACAAUACAAACUUGUAGAUCCACUCAGAAUAGAAGCAAAGCAACACAGAGCAUUUGUUAUUUUUAUAACUCUUAAUUAGUCGUGCCUAAAUUCAUGAAACUUUUAGCAGACAUCAAAUAUUAUAUGUAAAGCAUGCCACAAUAUUUUCACAUAUAUUUGAGCAAUAGUACAGUGGUUAUGAAAAAGACAAAUAUAACAAGCAAUUAAAACCGAACUGCAUAAAUCUAUUUUUACUGCUAAAACUGCAAACUAAACCAUGCCAUAUUAUAGAUCUACAGCAUAGAGAAUUUCACAAGGAUUCCAAAACGUCUACAUUUGCUAUUUUACAACUUUUCCAUGAAUUACUUUGGAUUUCCAAAGCUCACCCAGGGAAAAGGAAAACAGAUCUUUCACCGGGGACCCUGGACUUUCCAUGAAUCACGCAACAGCCCGCAGAUACUAUUCAUAUGAGUCUUGGCUUCGCAUCUGAAACCCUAGAUUGUUUCUUAUUCCAACACAGGCCCUUUUCUUCUUCCUAUUACGGAAACAGAGACGAAACGAAACGGGAGACCGAGAAGUCUGGGCACCGGCCGGCCGAUGGUUGCUGCAAGGGAGGGCGUGGCCACGACGGGAAUGGGCCUGCGCACAGGCACUCCCACGUGCACGGCUUGGCCGCUGCAGGAAGCUGCAGUGCAGCAGCACCGGUGCCCAUGGAGGCUGCCUGUCCAUGGCGGACAGAGGGAGAGAGUGGAGAGGGAGGAAGGCGAGUGGAGGAUGGGAGAGCGUUGAGGGAGUGGAGGAGGACAGGGAGAGCUCUCUGGCGCUCGUCCACAAUGGCGCAGAGAGAAGACAGGGCAAGGUGGAGGUGGCAGCAAUGGAGAGGUUGAACUCGUGCAUGGUCGCCACGUCCAGAACACGUGCUGGCCUUUGAGGCAUUCUGCCGAACAGGUGGCGGGCAAUAGAGUGGUCAACGUAGGAUCCAAAUAUGGGCUAGCUACGGGCCGAAUUUGGAGAUGGGCCAAAUAUGAAGUUUGUCAAACUCGUGCUGCUCUACAUUUUUCUUUCAAGUGUCGUGGUCAUUAGGAUUAUAGAUUAAUAGAUAAUUGAUGCCAAUCUAUGAGUGUCAACGAAUUGAUAGUGAUUAGCAAAACUCAAAAUUGAUGACCAAAACGAAGUCAAACUUGUGUCGUCUUUUGGCAUGCUGUAGCCCACAAUAUGUGCUCCAACGUUUAUUUUGGUGCACAAGCAAGUUGUUCAUAAGGAUUAGGAGAACGCCGGAUGCCAACGUGAUGAACUGCAAACCUAGACUUAGAAACUCUAAGUGCUGGAAAUUAUAGCAGAUUCAAUCUUGUGACUAUUAUUUGACAUGCUUAGAACAUGAUUCAGACUUAGUAACUUUAAUAAAUAUUGUAGUCUGCAAACUAUACUACAUCUUGUACAAAAGGACCUUGUACUGGUUCAGUUUUAUUUAGAAGAUACAAGGCUGCCAACUAGGGUACCCGAAACUGAGCACCUCAGGACUUAGCCAAAAUUCUGGAGUUCCCAAAACAGCACUGUAUUGAAUCUUAUAAGCUCAAUUUGACUAGGUUAGGGACCAAACUAGCUCUUGACCAUUAAACAAAGUUUGUUCUACAGAAUCUGAAAUACAACUUUCAUUAAGUUCAAACCUCAGAACUAGUAUAGAAGUCAAACUUUCACUUUGGUCAAUGCAGCAACUUGAUAAAGCUCAAACUAAGGUUUUAGGCUAAUUGAAGCACUUUCUGGGCACAAGCUCAACAUGUACCCUUCAUGACUUUUAUUGUAGAGUUCAUCUAGAGUUAUUUGGGAAAGGUUGCAAGGAUUGGUUGAUGACCUAUGGUUCUAUUCACUUAAUGGGGUCAUUCCAACAAGCAUGUAACUUAUCAUUUCAUGUGACCUUUUGAUUCCAAACUCCAUGAAACUUUUUGAGUGAUCACUAUAGGCAGUGAUGGAUGUGGAACACAUGAGAGAGGUUCUAUUAAUGUCACCCAAGCAUGCACUUUGAAAAGGUCAUAUAUGUAAGCAAGGGUGCAUUCUCCAAGGUUAACUUGAGGCUCACUUUCCUAGAUUGACUCUAUCAUGAUCAUUACCACUUAUCAUGACAUGUUUGAGCUCAAGACCUAGGGUCUAACUAGUGGCAAACACCUGGGGUGUUACAACCCUCCCCCCUUAAAAGAAUCUCGUCCCGAGAUUCAGAACAAAAGACUUCCAAGGGUAGAGAAGUAUGUUAUUCACUUCUAACAUUGGCGAUAGCAGUCAACUACUUAUCUCUGAGCAUCAGAGAGGCUGAUUUGGUCAAGUUACUUUCUGAUACUUGUUCUUCGUAGUGAAUUUUUGUCUAAAGAAUUUCCUUCAUUGACUUCCAUGAAGCAUUGUUACUUUGGGAGGAAUUCAAGACAACACUAUCACAUGUACUACAUUUCCAAUGUAUGAUGGAUGGUUCGGAGCAGAGUAAACUACUCAUUGCAAUGUUUCCAUAUUUGUUCACAAGGCUCGAAAAGCAGUGCUCUACCAAAAUGGCUUGAGUACAACCUUUCGCAGGGGAUGAGAUCAUGAACUAGAUAAACAUCCUAUGAGUGUUAUGAGAAACCAGCUAACCAACAACGAGGUCUAUUUUGGUCAUAAGGUCUAAUCACUUAGAUGCUAAUUGAUGGAAAGCUACAUAAUGUUCCAUGUGUGCAGUUCUUUUUCUCUAUAACCACACUGUAUUAUCUAAGUCUAUCAAGUUAGCACUCACUAUUCAAGGAAUUUCAUGGCUCCAAGUGUUAACAAUUACCUAGGUCGUAUCAAUACAACCUCUUGGGUAAAAUGAACAUAGAAGAUACCCAAGGCAUGUUAGUAUUGGAUAAGCAUUGCUAAAGAAGAAUGAUAGCAGGGUAUAGAGGACAAUAAUAGUUGCAAGUAUUCACCGAACUAAGGAAACAAGACACUACCAAGCAAGUCAACUACAAUUUUCCAUCACUAAGCAACAACUUAGUAGGCUCUUGGUCGACUUGCAUUGUAGAGAAUAGCUUGGUGAGACUACUUUUGAGAUUGAGGAUUCCUUUCUAGGAUCACACAACAGCUCUAAGAUAAUAAUUCUGAGAUUUGUUGUUUAACACCUCUCUCUAGCUCUUCAUGUAGCAGCAACUUUUUCAUGGAGGAUAGAGGAUAGGGUUUUUCUUUACAUCUGUCUUAGAAAACAACUUAAAUUGUGGUUUCGACACCAACUCAAGGAUGCACAAGCAUUGGACUUGUGGGCCAUUUUUUUUUGGUGGAGCUCAAGGCAUACUCCUCAUGGAAGGACUGUGUUACAACAGAUGAGAUAUGAUUUUUGAUUAUCUUUUGGCACUUCAUCCAAUCAAGCAUGAAAGAAAACCUUUGAUAGCGGAACACGCAUAAUGAUGCUGGCCGAGGGACAUACUUUCUCUAGCUUGUGACCCAGAUAUAGCAUCUAGUACUAUAUGUGUGAUUGUCCAAGAGGGAAUUGACUUGACAACAUUGGGUUUAGAGAAGGAGGCCAUAUUUGCAUCAUUGAUCGACUCGUUAUCUUCUUUGCUGAACAACAGUCUAUGAGAUAUAGCUGUUAUAGCUACUAAAGAGUCAUUAUCUAGCUGGGGAUUAUCUUUCUUAUUGGUAACCAACCAGUUGUCCCUUAACACUAAAAACUUCCAAAGCUUUCUUCUUUGGUGGCAACAAGUGUAGUUGAUGCAUUUGUAGGCAGUCAAGAUCAAAGUUAGCCAGAAAGGAGAUCACAAUAGAGAUGGUUCAUAAUGACUGUGUGAUCACCAUGAUCAAGAUUUAGAUAAAUUCUUGUCUGACUGAUAACUUGUCCAACUUUAAGUGUUGUGUGCCAUUUGGAUUCAAUAGUGGAUGACACAAGUUACUCACUAAACAACUUAUAUCGCUACAUGGGUAGCAAAUAGAGUCUCUUCUCUACCACCCCUUGCUGUCUGUUAAGGUUUAUGUCGGUAACCUAUUCUUCAAAGGUUAUCUUUUUAGCAACUUCAAAAGGAAGUCCUAUUAGAUAAGUCUGAUAUAGAUCCUUUGAUUGAAGAUAAGGAAAGAUAACCAAGGACAAGCUCAUGAGAAGAUCACACAGUGGUGUAGUUUUAUAAUAGAUCAUGACUAGCAACCACGAUACCAGUGCGUGCCGAGCAGCACGACCUUGUGUCUGCAGCCAUAGGAUGCUCUCGGUUUCGUCACGGCACCGUCAAUCGUUAAUCAUGACAAUAUUAUUGACCUUACCACCAACGUGAAAUCUCACAUGACAUAGGUAGGUCUUGCAUGUACAAGGAUCAUGUGCAAGACAAAAUUAAGCAAGCAAUGAUGACAGCAAGAUUUGGAGGUAACAACUAGAAGGUUAAAGGAUGAGAACACGACACAAGACAUAAAUGGGUAUGCCUUAUGCCCAUCAAGGUCAUUACCUAACAAUUAAUUUAUGAGAUGUGGUCAUGUUGGGUAGGAAUAUGAGAUCAAAGUUGAUAAGCAUCCAAGACUUGGGGAGGUUGGAGAUGAAUUAAGCAAACUCCAAAGGUAAAAACACUACCCGAUCAGAGAUUUAGAUGAUAGGGAGUUACAUGAUUUGUAAAGCAAAAGAUUCCAAGAUUAGGCAGCAAAAGAUUGCAUUACACAAGCUAAGUUUUGCGAGAUGCAACCAGGAGGUCCAACAUGGAUUUGGUAUGGUCUCCGUAACUAGCAAAGAACAACUAUAGUCAAAAGCUUUCUGUAGCGAGAACUUAUCCUAGCUAGUUGGCUGGACAAGGAUAUUUGCAAACGGGUGUAGGGAAACCAUUGUAUAUGCAAGUAUUUAAGGGUCUGGACAUGGGUUUACGUAUCAAGCAUAAGCAUGGAUGUUCCAACAUUCAAAACUAACAACCAAGUCUAUAAGUUGGGCUCCUAAAAAAGGGAACCUAAUUUGAUACAACCAACACACAAUCUAGAUAACCAACAUCCACACAACAUAACAGUUUUAAGCAAGCACUUGAGAUAACUCAAACAAUCACACUUAAACAACCAUUACUAAGCACAAGGCUUACACAUAACAAGCAUCUAUCUACAGCAAUACAACACAUUUGUCCCACCUACAAGGAUUAUGAUACCAUAUGUGCCACAAAGCAAGUGGACAUGGCUCAGUCCUUUAGGGAGAAGAUGAUUUUGAGAUAGAUAGUGAAAGGGCUCCAAAAGAUUUUUGCAUGGCUGCACUAUCAUGCAAAUGGACAUACCACAAGCAAGAGUUUAGCAUUUAGGAAAACUCAGCAGAAAAAGGUUAUCAAACCUAUAGAGCUACUUCAAAACUUAACAAGGUUGAAAAAGAAUAGCAAUCAGCUUUGCCUAAACUAGGAUAGAGAACUUGACAUGAAUUUUAGAAAAUGAUAACUAAAGUUCCAUUGAUCCAACAAACAUGAUCCUCAAUCUUAUGGAAGACUUAUUAAAUUACCUACAAUUUUCUUAUUAUCAUCUUAAGGUGCUUCUACGGCUAACAAGCACAAUCAAAACAAAGAAGGCAAAUCUAUCCAGAUUUUUGACAGAUUAUGUCAUUCUACUUCACAAGCUCAUAACAUAAGAUUUAGACCACCAAAAGUAGUGAUCUAAGACAUUUUGGAAACCUUAACAAAAGUACUACAGUUCUUCUAUUAACUCCAAGACAUGAUUCUAUAUGAAUACUAGUUAAACAAACUAAACAUUCAGAUCUGUUCAGAACACAAUCUGGAUCUGACAACAACUUCAAAAGUUCAUAACUCCUAAACCAUCAGGCCUAUGGUCAUGAAAUUUUAGGAUAGACUAGAUAUAGUGGUUGGCUACAACUUUGGUAUUCACUAUAAUUACAGAAAACGCCAUUAUUGUUAUGAAAACACCACUAGAAUACAAACUGCUCUAGCAGCCAAAAUUCAACACACAUAUCAAACAAUGUUUUCCCUUGUUAUAUUAACAAGAGAGCCCACACAUGUAUAACUCCAGUAGCUACAACAUUAUUACCUAGACAAAUAAUAAUUUAAUUUGGUGACAAUGAGGGAUUAACAUAAGAAUCACAAUUGAUUAAGUGAGGUUAGAGCAUUUGCAAACAUAUUCAUGAGCAACAUAUUCACCACUUGGCUAAACAAGCUGACACCUACAAAUUCAAGCAUAUAGCCUCAACUAUUUCUAUUAUGGGUAGGCCAUACUUUUAGUUAGUUAAUUAACAUUAGAGGAUUCAUUGGAACACAUUCACAUACAUGUUCACCGACAAGUUUUAGUUUUUAAAGGAUUGUAGUUUCUACUACUACUAACUUAGCACUCCUAUAGAAGCAAACACUCAAGGCUAAACACAUCACACACUACUUUCAAGCAAAGCUAUUCAAGUAGCAUGGACUAAGACAAAUUUUUGUAUGGCUUCACACAAGGAAGGGGGUAACAUCACAUCACUAACAAGUUACUUAUCAUUAGAACAAGAAUGAGAGAAGAAUAAUUAUGCAUAAUGCAACAAUCAUGAUGAUGCAUGCUUCGUCUUAUUCGUCCUCACGAAAUUGCCAGCCUAUGGUGGCAAUCACAUUCUAUGUCGGUGGCAUAACACGUACUCUCUCGACAUAUAGCUAGUCGUCAACUACGUUCAAUCUAUGCAUUCGUGGUUAGUGUACCUGCAGAAGAAUUUCAUUUCAGCCCAUCCCCACAAUAAUAUGAGUACAGAAAUGAAAGUCUGGUCUCUAGGUUGAAAGUUAAAUACUCCAAUAUAUAUUCCCGAAUAUAUAUUGCAGCAUACUACCCAUGUGAAGCACGCCCAUGUAUACAAGAGACAUGUAUACGCGGUCGUACCAACUAACCCACAAUUAAGUACCUUCAUAUAGACAUGUGUGUAACAUGUAAAUAUUCCAGUAACCACAUCUAACUCUCUCCUAGACCGAUGGUUGGACGGUCAUGCUCUCACAACUCACAUUCUUACCUUGAGCGUCGAGGCAUAUAGAUCCAUGCAUUACCACUCAAGCAAGUGGCAUCCAUACAAUUUCACGCCGUAUGGACGACGAAAGAAAAAUUUUGCUUACCAUGGCGUAGAGGUAUAUGAUCCAUUCAUUACCACUUAAGUAAGUGGCAUCCAUACUAUUGCACGCCGUAUGGACGACGAAAGUAAAAGUUGCGAUAAAGUAAACCACCAUAGUUAGUAUCAGUUUACAUAAAGCCACCUAGUAGUCCUUAAUUGGGCAUAAUUGGAGGUUGUCGCUAGCAUAGUUUUUGUAAAUUAGUUUUGACAAGUUUUGCCUGUAGCUAAAGUUUUAGUCAAAAUAGGAUUUUCAAAACCAAAACUUUGUUUUUAAAACAGUGUACCUGAUAGUAUUAUACUUAAUCAUGCUCUGAUGCCAGCUGUGACAGAACCGCCCAAUUUAUACAAGCUUAAGUACGACUGUCCCCGUUUAACACGUUGACACGCGCAUACUCUCACUUAUAUAAACCCGGUAGUCUGCCGAGUGUCACGAAGGACCUCGGUAAAUCAACUUUACACCAAGAUCGCAUGAUUAAGCAAAUACACAUCACAUACACAGAGAUUUGCAGCGGAAAUAAUAUUACAAAAGAGUUCACAAAUAAUAAUACAAGUUUGGAUUUCCAAAUUGGUUAGAAAACAACAUAGCUUUCAAAUUAUUACAAUAACAUAAGUUUCAAAUACAUUGCUAGCAUAAGUGACAUCCUCCGACAAAAGCAUGUAGAUGAGAACACUAUAUAGAAUCACCGAGCCCACCGGCUGUUAGCCACCAUCUUUAGCAGACUAAAAACUUCACCUGCAACAUGGUGGGAUAAACCCUGAGUACUCGAAUGUACUCAGCUAGACUUACCCGACAGGAGAGAAAAUAAAAGACUCUAAAGGAUAUGCAAGGCUUUUUGGUGGAGUUGGUUGGAUAGCAUAACUUUGCCAAAAAGAGCAUUACUAUCAUGAGUCCUUACUUUCAACCUUUUAGUCAAUAUUUUAGCAUCAAGUUCAAUUAAGCUACCAUAGCUAGAUUUUGCACCUAUUCUAUAGCAAUCACUUGAUUAAUAAGCAUCACAUUAAUAACCAUAUCCGGUUUAUCAUGUAGCCAUCAUCAUCAUCAUAACCAUGAAGUUUCAUUUAGUUUAUCUACGUUGCUGCUGCCCGAGUCAAGUUCUCACUAUCCGGGAGAGACGGCGAUUCGAUUCGAUUCCUAUCCAGCUGGAGGGGUAUUCCUAGCACUCACCCAGGCAUACUUAACUAGAGUAGCUUGGAUCACCUUUAGCACAACUCCGGACCAAUUCUCGGGUCCGUACGGCACCGCACCCCCAGGGACCGCCAAUCUGCCAGGGUCAGGACUCUAACCUGACACCUCGGUCUUACGCCAUUGACUCCCCGCACAUCCUUACUACCAACCGGGGUGCGCACUUAAACCGAACGGGGUAUCCGGCCGGAGAUGCACUCGUAGGCUUCGCGGUCGGAAGGACUUAUCCGGCCAACUAAGUGAUAGGCAUGCGUUCAACAUGACACGGGGACGUACAUCGAUUCGGUCCUUAAACGACACAGACGGGGAAAGAUUCACACCCAAGACCUCCAUGCCUUGUUGCUGCACUAUCGUCAUCCCGCCCGGUCUCAAGUUCAUUAUUAGCACAUGGUUAUUUCCACGAUAGCAAAUAUAGCCAACCGUGAUCAGGUAUCCACCUAUCUCUCGCAGGUGACAGGAAAUCACCUGGCUUCUACCGAGCUAAGCAUAGCUAAGCAUAGAAUGUCUUCCUUAUACUAGUAAGGGUUCAGGUAGUUUCAUAUAGUGGACAAGGUAGGAAUUAUGCACCAACGGUUUCAUUCAACUCCUAUCACCUAAUGCAUCAUAUAAAGUUAUACUCUUGUACUUUUAUAAAAAGAGAGGGUAGGAGACUUAGAAUGCUCCGGGGCUUGCCUGGAAUCCGACACAAGUCAGUUAAGUUAGCUUGCGCCAUCUUGACGGCAUUCAAGUUCGCAACACUUGUGUAGUCCUUCCAUCACCCCGAUAGGUCCACCAUCACGUCCUUCACGUGGUUCAUCUAGCGUACCUAAAUGAGAUGCAAGAUGCAAGUGCAUGAAAAUAUAGAAGUGCAAUAGACAAAGCAUCACACACAAGAAGCAUGGCAAGAGCAUGGUUACACUAAACAUACUUAAGCACAUCUCACUGCUCACUUAAUGAUUACACAACCAACAUGCUAAGUCAACAAAGAAUGCAACACUAAACAUAUUAGACAUGGCAUACAUGUUUCACAAGGUCUCAGGUAUAUUAACUUGGCCAUUACCAAGGACAUGAGUCAUACAUAGCAAUAUACCAAGCAAGAACAAUAAAAGGAAUCUGUCAUUUUUAGGACUGUUAACAGCAGCUGAGAAAAUAAAUCAUAACUGGAGUUACACAACUCCAAAAGAUAUGCAAGAAGACAUUCUGGAAAGCUUAAGAAAUUAUCUACAUUUCGUCUUUAUACAUCAAAGCAUGAUUCAUAAGUUUGUUAGGUCGAAAUAUUGGAAUUACAAAAUCAGGUCCUAACAAGACAGAGAGCAACCAUUUCUGAAAUCCAACUUUGAACAGUCAUAACUUACAAACCAUAUGGCUAAAUACUACCAACAUUUAACAGCAGCUAGAUAAAUUAAUUAUCUACAACUUUGCUAUAAACAAGAUUCUCUUAAAACAAGAUUUACACAUUGUAAUCCAAACAGUUCUAGAAACUGUCCAGAAACCAGAAUUGCAACAAUUAAUUAUUAACUUAUGUUUCAAACAUGCAUUUGAGCAAAACCAUUGUCACCAAUAGUUUUCAUAUAUCUAAAGAACACCAGAAAACAUAGUGGUCAUUACCAAAUAAAUUUAUUUAAUGCCUUUCUUAAUUUAUUUGGAUAAUAAGGUGAAUUAAAGAACAUAUAUCAAACAUGCACAGUAUAUUCUACAAAUAUUACAGUAGAUUCUACAUACUAUCCAUAGUCUACUGUAUAAAUUUCACUGCAUUUGAAUAAGCAUAGCAAGAUCUAUUAAAAAGACAAAUUGCUAUUGCAAUUAACCAUGUGAGAGCAAGAUAAAUGCACAAGUCAUAUUUUCGUCAAACACAUGGCCAUAACAUGCAUAAACAUGAUACAAAAAUAUCAUAGGAUUGUAUUGGAACAACAUUUUCCAUUUUUACAUUUUUAUUUAUACUUAUAAACCAUUUAUCAAGAUCCAUAAAGAUAUCUCUGUCCAAAACAUGGACAGAAUCUAUCAUGUCAAAUUAAACAGACAUAACUUGAGUUUCACAUGUCCAUAAAUUAUGGUUAUGUACUUUCUAGAAAGCUUACUAAAUUGUGAACAACUUUGUUAUAAACAUCUAGAGCUAAAUCUACCACUAACAAGGACUUACAUAACAAACAAUGUAUUGCUGUCUGGGUUUAGACAGAAACUGAAAUAGUAAUUUAAACCACUAUAACUAAAGAUAUGCUUAACCAAAAAUUAUGCUAUUUAGCUUGAUGGAAAGCUUAUGAAAAGUACUACAACUCAUAUAUUUUCAUCCAGGCAUGAUUCACAACCUAACUGAGCCAAACAAUACAAACAUGCAGAUCCACUGAGAAUAGAAGCAAAGCAACACAGAGGAUUUGUUAUUUUUAUAACUCUUAAUUAGUCAUGCCUAAAUUCAUGAAACUUUUACCAGACAUCAAAUAUUAUAUGUAAAGCAUGCCACAAUAUUUUCACAUAUAUUUGAGCAAUAAUACAGUGGUUUUGAAAAAGACAAAUAUAGCAAGCAAUUAAAACCGAACUGCAUAAAUCUAUUUUUACUGCUAAAACUGCAAACUAAAACAAGCCAUAUUAUAGAUCUACUGCAUAGAGAAUUUCACAACGAUUCCAAAAAGUCCGCAUUUGCUAUUUUACGAAUUUUCCAUGAAUUACUUUGGAUUUCCAAAGCUCACCCAGAAAUCUGCAAAGACAAAGGAAAACGAAAACAGAUCUUUCACCGGGGACCCUGGACUUUCCAUAAAUCACGCAACAGCCCGCAGAUACUAUUCAUAUGAGUCUUGGCUUCGCAUCUGGAAACCUAGAUUGUUUCUUAUUCCAAUAUGAGGCCCUUUUCUUCUUCCUAUUAGGGAAACAGAGACGAAACGGAACGGGAGACUGAGAAGUCUGGGCACCGGCCGGCCGAUGGCUGCUGCAAGGGAGGGCGUGGCCACGACGGGAAUGGGCCUGCGCACACGCACUCCCACGUGCACGGCUUGGACGCUGCAGGAAGCUGCAGUGCAGCAGCACCGGUGCCCAUGGAGGCUGCCUGUCCAUGGCGGACAGAGGGAGAGAGUGGAGAGGGAGGAAGGCGAGUGGAGGAUGGGAGAGCGUUGAGGGAGUGGGGGAGGACAGGGAGAGCUCUCUGGCGCUCGUCCACAAUGGCGCAGAGAGAAGACAGGGCAAGGUGGAGGUGGCAGCAAUGGAGAGGUUGAACUCGUGCAUGGUCGCCACGUCCAGAACACGUGCUGGCCUUUGAGGCAUUCUGCCGAACAGGUGGCGGGCAAUAGAGUGGUCAACGUGGGAUCCAAAUAUGGGCUAGCUACGGGCCGAAUUUGGAGAUGGGCCAAAUAUGAAGUUUGUCAAACUCGUGCUGCUCUACAUUUUUCUUUUAAGUGUCAUGGUCAUUAGGAUUACAGAUUAAUAGAUAAUUUGAUGCCAAUCUAUGAGUGUCAACGAAUUGAUAGUGAUUAGCAAAACUCAAAAUUGAUGACCAAAACGAAGUCAAACUUGUGUCAUCUUUUGGCAUGCUGUAGCCCACAAUAUGUGCUCCAACUUUUAUUUUGGGGCACAAGCAAGUUGUUCAUAAUAAUUAGGAGAACGCGGGAUGCCAACGUGAUGAACUGCAAACCUAGACUUAGAAACUCUAAGUGCUGGAAAUUAUAGCAGAUUCAAUCUUGUGACUAUUAUUUGACAUGCUUAGAUGAUGAUUCAGACUUAGUAACUUUAACAAAUAUUGUAGCAUGCAAACUAUACUACAACUUUUACAAAAGGACCUUGUACUGGUUCAGUUAUAUUUAGAAGAUACAAGGCUCCCAACUAGGGUAUCCGAAACUGAGCACCUCAGGACUUAGCCAAAAUUCUGGAGUUCCCAAAACAGCACUGUAUUGAAUCUUAUAAGCUCAAUUUGACUUGGUUAGGAACCAAACUAGCUCUUGACCAUUAAACAAAGUUUGUUCUACAGAAUCUGAACUACAACUUUGAUUUAAGUUCAAACCUCAGAACUACUAUAGAAGUCAAACUUUCACUUUGGUCAAUUCAGCAACUUGAUAAAGCUCAAACUAAGGUUUUAGGCUAAUUGAAGCACUUUCUGGGCACAAGCUCAACAUGUACCCUUCAUGACUUUUGUUGUAGAGUUCAUCUAGAGUUAUUUGGGAAAGGUUGAAAGGAUUGGUUGAUGACCUAUGGUUCUAUUCACUUAAUGGGGUCAUUCCAACAAGCAUGUAACUUAUCAUUUCAUGUGACCUUUUGAUUCCAAACUCCAUGAAACUUUUUGAGUGAUCACUAUAGGCAGUGAUGGAUGUGGAACACAUGAGAGAGGUUCUAUUAAUGUCACCCAAGCAUGAACUUUGAAAAGGUCAUAUAUGUAAGCAAGGGUGCAUUCUCCAAGUUUAACUUGAGGCUCACUUUCCUAGAUUGACUCUAUCAUGAUCAUUACCACUUAUCAUGACAUGUUUGAGCUCAAGACCUAGGGUCUAACUAGUGGCAAACACCUGGUGUGUUACAAGCUUGAACAAGUCAAGUUUGGAUGAAUUUAAUUCAAUGUUGCAUGAUGAUCGGUUGGACAUACCUUGUUAUUCUUCACUCUUUUACUUCAAGCCUGAAUCGCUAAGAAAACGGGAUUGCUUCCCCCGAGCUGAAUGUUGACAUAGUCUUUAAUCUUGAAUCCGCACAACAUAGAUGUUCUUCAAUAUUCUUGAGCUUCAAAAUGUCAGUGAUGAUUGCAGCGCUUCCAAUUUGAUGAAGAUAUCUAGAUCAUUGGGGAUUCUCUCUUUAAAUCAUGUUAAACUCAAAUAGACAACAAAACUUGUGGCACCGAUUAAACAUUAGUAGUUGGCCACUUAAGCCUUAGUUGUCGAAGCUUUUUAGAUUUUUUUUAAUUAUUUUUCUAAGCAGAGUUUCAACAAGAUCUCUUUCUCAAUAUAUAUAUAUAUAUAUAUAUAGGUUUUAAUCUUUCUAUGAAGCAAAAAGGAAAUGGAACAGGAUGAAUGCCUGUUUAUUUAUUUUUAUAUUUUUUUUAUUCCACCACGGUGAAUAUUGGUGUGGGCUUUUACACACCACACAAUUUAUUCACGUGGGGUUUUAGUAUUUAAGAUGCAAUAAGUUAUAUAAAAUAUUUUUAUUAUAUUUUCUAAUGCAAUAAUAAUGCAGAAAGAUAAAUAUGUUAUUGAGAAAUAAAUAUGCUAAAAACAAAUGCAGAAAAGAUAAAUACAAUAAACAUACUAAAGCUAGUGAUACAUUAAAUUAGCAGACAUCAAGAUCAUUAUCAAAAUCUUCACACCAAUUGCUUCCCCGGCAACGGCGCCAAAAAUGCUUGUUGACAUUCGUUAAGUGCAAUAAGAAUAAUAAAAAAUCCGCAAGCGCACAGACCAUCAUCGUAGCAUUUUACCGGGAGUAUUCUAGGUAUCGUUAUUUAUAUUUUACCACUGGGAAGCUAAGGUCAAAGAAUCUGAUAACUUACUAUCAUGCAUCUACUAAUUUAAUAAACCAACUAGACUAAGGUAGGGGUAAAUGAUAUAUGAUAGGUAAUAAUAUAAAGGUGAGAAUUCUAUGAUAAAUGCUUAGAUAGCCAUAGCGGGAGGACAACGGGAGAGACCCGAGUUCCUGUAUACUUCUCUAUUACUUCAGUUCUAUGAUAACAAAUAAUGAAUAGAUAUAGCAAUCACAUAUUAGCACUUUGGGACAUCAGAACACCAACCACAGAAAGAGAACUAGAAGGGGGCUGGGAAGCUCUGACUACAGUCCUACAAACACCGAUCCGAACGAGGUGGAAUACGUCGACCGUUAGGGUUGUCACUACCCUAGGGCUACCACAACAAUCCGCAGGACUGGGUGCAACCUUAGGUAACCUCUAGUAUAGACACCACGUCUACACUAACGAUUACUACUCUAAUUACUAUGAAUAACUAGAGCACUUGAUGUGAACGGAGAUCCUAUGCCAAAAUAUAACAACUACACUACUCGAUAAUAAUAAAGGCAUAAAAGUAAGUAGAGAAGAUAAAUAUAUUAAAGCAUAAGCCUUACAAUAAAGACAUACCAAAACUCUGAAGACUUCUCCAGAACCGAAGCACAGCUCCGCUCUCCCUAACUCCCGACUAGGACUAAUCUAUUACCUUGGAAUGUCUAGCCCUAAUUCUCUAUAGAGGAAAGGUUAUGGCACCUCGCAACUCUAUAAUGAUGUGUUCUCCUCCAGGGGCCAGGGGCCUUGCUUAUAUAGUCCUCCUCCUUUGUGCGUUUUUGGUUCAGCAGGCGAUGUGGUACUAAACUUUCCACCAUAUCUCAUUAAAAUGCACAAAGGCCUUAAUGGACCAAAAUCUGAUUUGGGCCCAAUUAAUCCCACAGCUCUUUUAUGUGGAGUCCUUCUUUUAUUAAUAUCUCUUGAUUCCGAACUCCAAAUAUAGCAAAUAAUAUAUGCAUUUCGAUCAGCUCGACGAGAUCUUUGUAAUGGUGUACUUCAUUCUGGGAUUGGUGCUUGUACCACGGCGGGCGCCCUAGGAUCAAGGGCGGGCGCCCUAGUCCUAGGCCUGUCUCGGCUCCGCUUCAGUCGAAUUGCUUCUAGAGUCUUCCUGAUUAUGGAAAAUUACCGCACACAUUAAUUCUCUAUGUAAACCCGACAUGUGGGCCUUUCCUUCAUAUUUCCCGAUAACCCCCUGCAGAAAUAGACAAACACCAAAACUCGUGGAAUUCUAUCAGAUGAAACCCUAAGUCUAGGUGUCGGUUGCAUUUGAAUCCCUUUUUAUGAUUAGUUGACGGUUAAAUAUGAGCAUUAAGGGCCGUCAACAGAGGCUAUAUAAGCAAGGCCCCUGGCCCCUGGAGGAGAACAUGUUGAUAUUUGGUAACGCCACCAGGAAACGAUCCGUAAGCCCACGGAUAUCAGUGAGCACUUCACCCGGGAGGUUGUCCAGAGUAUCGUAUUUAUAUUUUACCACUAGGAGAAAGCGUGCCUCUGACUAAUCAAAUCUAUUGCUACUACCCUUUAGGCUACAAACAAUGUGAUUCGAUGUGAGCGAUGUAUAGAGAAGACUACAACCGUAAUCUCGUUCUAACCUUGGUAAGGAUAAUCUACUGUUCUAUUGGGGUGGCUUACGGAAUCUAGACACCAUAAAGGAUGUUCAACCCGCACCUAUAAACCCUAUCGAUCCUACUAACGGGAUGUGGGCUACAAAGGUAACUCAGAAAUGUCAUGUUCCUCGCUACUACCACGGUCUAGCUUGACAGGGGAUAUCUAUGAGUACCCUAGCCCAAACACCACGUUUACGCUAGCAAUGAUUACUCUAAACUCAACCGGAAGAGAUUAAAGUAAACUCAUAAACCAAAGAACAAUAAGAACAAGAACUUACUAGAAUUUAGAAGUCGAAAUACUGAAGAAUCCUAGGAGCAAGCCUCGGGUUAGUAGACUUGAUCCUGCAGGAACAACCUCGGAGUAGACACCGACAGGCCGGGCUUCCUCCGAUCUACACCUCCACUCUAUCUCUCUCAAUCUAGUAGAACUUAGAAGAACUAAUUCUAAUCUCACAUUGGAUGCUAAGCCCUAAUUUUAUAUAGAGGAAAGGUUAUCCUUCGAGGGCACCUCUCAAAUCUAUAUUGAUGUGUUCUCCUCCAUGGGCCAGGGGCCUUGCUUACAUAGCCUCCUCCUUUUGUGCCUUUUUGGUUCAGCAGGCGAUGUGGUACUAAACUUUCCACCAUAUCUCAUUAAAAUGCACAUAUGUCUUAAUGGACCAAAAUCUGAUUUGGGCUCAAUUAAUCCCGCAGCUCUUUUAUGUGGAGGCCUUUUUUUAUUAAUUUCUCUUGAUUCCGAACUCCAAAUAUAGCAAAUAAUAUAUGCAUUUCGAUCAGCUCGAUGAGAUAUUUGUAAUGGUGUACUCGAUUCUGUGAUUGGUGUUUGUACCAGGGCGGGCACCCAAGGGGGGAGGGCGGGCACCCUGACCCCGGGCCCGUUCGGCCUCCCGUUAGUUCCCGUGGCUUCUAGACUCUUCUAGAUGAUAGAAAAUUGCACAGCACGUUAAUAUCUCUAUGUAAAACCGACGUGUGGGCCUUUCCUCCAUAUUUCCUGAUAACCCCUUGCAGAAAUAGACAAACACCAAAACUAGUCGAAUUCUGUCAGAUAAAACCCUGAGUCUGGGUGUUGGCUGCAUUUGGAUCCUUUUAUUUUUUUAUUUGAUGAUUAUAUUUGGUACUUAAGGACCGUCAACAAACUCCCCCAAGCUUACCUCUUGCUCAUCCCUGAGCAAGGAUAGACUCAAAAGUUUCUGCAGAGGUUUCAUGCCUUAAAAGUACACAUGCGUUCAAGCAAGAUCUCAUCUCUGAGUUAGAGUAAACUGUUAAAACUUAAAACUUACUUAUUUUACCUUUCACCAUGGGGCUUCCAACCGUCACUUGUGUCUUGAGCAGUUAAAAGAUAGAACGGUCAGGUCAAGCGUCAUGUCUCUUGUUCUUUGAUCAGCUAUAGCUCUGGAGUUUUUUCAGAUUUUCAAAUAAAACUCAGAGAUUCCAUGUAUGAUUCUCUCAAAUCUCUCUUUUGUGGUAUUUCUGGAUCCUUUCCAAGGCAGUAAUGGUAUAUGCCUUCUCUCAAAGUAUGUUGUAUUUUUGGUGUGAGGCAUAGUGAUAUUGCCUUCUCUCUCACCCUACUCUAAUAAGGUUUUGAUAUCUGGAGCUCAUAAGUGGGAGACAGAUAAUACAUACUUACAAGACAUUUAUUGCAUAGUCAAACCAUGGAUCCAGAAGAACAAGUCAAUAAGUCAAAUCAAGAUGUGCAGGUGUGGCAAGUGAAUGGUGUAUGGUGAUGAUGGUGAUAACAAUGGUGAAAGUCUAAUUCUACUUUUUGCUCUUUUAAGGGGAUACAUACCUUUCUUGCUCUUUUGAAACUUUUUUGAGGAGAAUGAGAUGCUCUAUAUUUUCUUUUUCUUUCCUCUCAGGUGGGUAUCUCGUACCCCUAAUUCUAUUGUCGAACACUUGUCUAUUUUUACCUCUCGUCUCACUUUUUCUUUUCUUUCGAGGUUCUGGGCACUUGUCUCUUUUUAUUUCCUCGUAUCCUUUUCUUUUUUUUCUUUUUUUCUUUUUUAGAACACUCUUCUCCUGAAAUAAUAUAGCAAGUGGUAGUAACCAAGAUAACUCGAGCAUUUAUUUCAUAGGGAAUAACAGGGAUAGGAUAAUCUUUUUGGCUAUUCUCUCCUGGAUAGGAGUAGAAUAAUUUUAGGUGAAUCUGGAGAUGGAAUUGAGUGGAUGUAUGUGGAUGCGUACUUCCGGAGUAGAAGUAGCAUGUAUGAGUGAACGUGCAAGUGAAUCUUGAUUUUAACCGCAUGACUAGCUCCUAAGGGUCUACACACCUUGACCACACAGCAGUAAAAAGUAAAUGUGUGGCUCAAAGUCUAGCAAGCAUGUAUAUAUGGCUGUGGUAGGAAUUUAAACUCUCAUCAUACAGGAACUCAUCAUAUGUUAUUUUAAAGAUUUUCAAAGAUAAAAUUCUCCAGAUUUCUAGCAUCUCUAGGAAUAGAUAAACAGCAGCUCAACCUUCUCAUAUCAUAUUUGUUAACGACUUAGAGUUUAGAUCAAGUACUCUUCCCACAAGUUCAGGUUUAAAGCAGGUUUAAAUUAUAACAGUUAUGCCUAAACUUGAGAGAGAGCUCAAACUUGAAAACUAGGUAUAUGGCAGAGUAACUAUUUAUCAUAUCCAUGUAAGAGUUUAUCAUUUAAGUUCAGUUUGGCCUAGACACUUUAUUUAUUUAUUAAGCAAACUAAGCAAAGAUAUAUAUAAAGCACAAAAUUUUUAUUUGGGUUUUCAUGAUUAUGCAUCUUUUUAUUAUUUGAGUAAAGUAUAAACGCGACUAGAAACACUUAGCUCGAUAAAUGGGGGUGCUCUUCCCCAAGCUAGAUUUUGACGUAAUUUCUUCUGAUGUAGCUAGCAGAUGAUGGAGGUGUAUCUGAAUGUCGGCAGCACCCUGACAGCGAUUAGAAUGUCCUUCAUCUGCUAGUCUUGUUUGAUCCUUGAACUUUGUGGAGCUCAAAUAGACAACAAAGCUUUGUGGAACUAGUUAAGUGUUAGCAUAAAUAUCUAGCCGUUAUCAUGUUGAGCGUCCUCAAUAAAUGUUACUCUCUUUAGUAGGAUCAUAAAUUUAUUUUUAUAUUUUUAUAUUUAUAGGACAGGAAUAUAUUUAUUUUAUUUUUACGCCACCACAGUGAAUGUACUUAUGGGUUUUAUGCCAUGAGUAUACUCACAUGGGGCUUACUAUUUUUGAACAUUUUUAUUUUCUUUUCAAGAUGAUAUGAACCUGAUUAACUAAGUAAACUAUUUUAAAUAAUUGGAGAGAAAAAGAUAACUACCAAUUUUACCUCUUGGCAAGGCGUUUGGUGUUUUUAAGUCCUCCAAACGGGACUCUCCGUUUUCUCAGUCAUCCUGGGAUUCGCUAGAUGGCGUAGUCGGUGGUUCCGACGGCGCCUCCUCUUUGUGUAUAACUAUCUUCUCUCUCCAUACCUGACUCGGUGCUACGUUCUCCUCAGGACAGUUCUGUUCAAGCUGUAUGUCUUCAGACCUUACCACUUCUCCUUCGUAGUCUGCCCAUCCGUCCUUGAUGAUUUGCCUCCUCUGGUUUCGGUUGCGUCGCCUUCUUCAGAGGGGAAGUGCAUGUGGACUUCUCCGGUUCCAAUAUAGAUGAUGGUUUGAUAGUGUUGAGGAACGGUCUUCCAAGGAUGGUGGGUGGAUCGUACUCGUCUUCUCCCAUGUCAAUGACCUGAAAAUCAUCUGGAGCUGAAUGUAUGUUGGUUGUAGAGGCCUGUUCCAUGCAGGAGCUGAUAAGUGACUGUGGCCAUUAUGUUGACGUCAGAUCCGGCGUCGUAGAGUGUCUUCUGAAAAGAGUAUACAUUGAUUGUGCACUCGAUGCUUGGAACACCAGGGUCAUCCUUCUUGAUCAGGAAAGGCGACUUGAGUCGACGAUCUUGACCUCUUUCGACAAGGAUCCAAUGUUUUAAGUCUUCUGGACAAGACUUCUCACUGUCUUCAUCUUUUAGGUGCAUCAUUUGAUUAGGUGUGGACCUUGACGUCUGCACCUCUUGAUACGGUGUCACCCAUUUUCUUCGUUUGUUCAACAGUUCGAGGUGCGGCAUUGGCAGCAUCCUGCUCAGUGUGUUUGUGCUUGUAGAUCCAAGUCCUUCACUUGGAGGAAUCUAGGAGUUGUAAAACUCCUUCAGGUUUUGCUCGAAGUGUUCCUGCUCAUAAAGACAAGGCAGAGAUCAAGUGCAUGGGCCCUGUUGGUGAAAAACACCAACAGAACCAAAAGUGUAUUUGUUCUUCUCUAAUCUUAAGCAUGGUGAGCAAGACAAAGUUGAUGGAUAAUAAGAUCAUGAGUGUAGCAUUUAAAACAUUUGUUAGAUCAGAUUGCUCAACCCAAUCGGAAGAUAAUCUAUCUAUAUUUAUGUUUUGUUUAUAUCUUCGAAAGAUUGAAUGUGCAACAUUUUAGCUUGUAUGAUUAGGAGUGUGGGAUCAUGAAGGUAGUACUAAGAACAAAGAUUAAAGGACUAAACAUGUUUGAAUUAUUUGGGUUGGUUAAUUUGGAGUUAUAAAUCAUACAUGUUUGUCUCUUUAUUUAUGUGAACGCCGGAACCAAGGAGAAGCUUAUAAAAGUGAUAGUCACAUAUCUUAAGAUGUUACCUUAAUUGAAGAGUGAUGGUACCAUCUCACCUUGUGGAAGCUUCCCAUUCGUAAUGGUUGUGUAUCUUGUUUAUGUACAUUGUCUCCUUUCAUGAAUCAUCUCUCUAUGAUGAAUGAGCUAUGUCCUUCUUGUGCAAAUUGUUAAACUUCAUGUGUCUCUCUCUUUAUAUCUGAUGUGAGUUUAUCUUAGGACUUCCCAAGUCGAUAUUGAAAGUUUUUCUGCAGGGGUUAGUCUGACAAAAUAUACCAAUGACUACACAAGCAGUUUUUAGUUCAAUAAUCGAACUAGACUCCAUGUCUAAUCAGAUUAAGGAAGGUUGUUUAACCUAAGCACCAUGCUUAAUUUAAAAGCCAAUAGAAGUAUGUGUAUUACUUCCAAACUAACACUUACUAGGAUAAACAAAGGUAGCGUGAUGGCUUUUAUAGAGAUCUACUCAAGUAGAGAUGAAGUAGUGUGAUUAGUAUUUAAUCAAUUGAGCAUGUCUCAAAGGUAGGGACAACCAACAUAGCAACAUGGCAAAGGAUGUUUUUAUGUAAAGUAUUUCCCCCAAGCUUGAAUUUUGCAAAAUUCAAGAUUGGAUGAAUUUAAUUCAAUGUUGCAUGAUGAUUGGUUGGGCAUACCUUGCGCUUGUCAUUCCUCGGAUCUUCUUGCUCCUCGAAAGGUUAGUGACAAGAAUACCCGAAGUAAUAUUUUUACAAUUAUCCUUAUAUGCUCAAUACACAUGGCAAUGUUGCAAAUAAUUAGAAGUUCAUGUUACGAUCUGAUAAGUGCUUGUUUUAGGACACUAAGCUUGUCCUUGGGAAACCAUCAAAUUAUGUUGGUGAAGUGGUUUCCCCUCCAACACCAACCUAAUCGUGCCUAUAUCAAGAUCGACUCUGCAAUAUUUAUUAUAGACAUAUGCAUCGAUAACCACCCCUUUAAAGUUUUUAUAAAUAGAAAGGAAGGGGGGGUUGGAGGUCUCAAAUGUGGUAAGGUUGGAGAGACCAAUUGAUUGAGGAGAUGUUUUAUAUGAGCAAGGAAUUGGUGAGGUAUUUAUGAAAUAACUUCCAUGCUCACUAUUGUUUCUCUCAUUCUCAAACUCCAAGGAUGAUUCUUCAUGAAUGCUUAAAAUUCCUCUAGGAUUGUCUCUCAAGAUUGUUUUAUCCAUCCAUUCAAUGGUGAUAGCACAUGGAUUUUUAAUGCCCUCUAGCCAUUAAUGUUGCUCUUCUCGAUCCUCCUUGUGGUCUUGGUGACUCUUAUGCAUGGGAUGUCUAGAGAGAUUCAUAGGAUCAUCGGGAGGUUUAAAAAAAAAGCAUAGUAGAAAUUAUUAGGCUUAAAUAUGGGUUUAAAGAUAGGUUUAAAUGAGUCAUCAAAAGUGGGCGUAGAAGGGGAGAAGAUGAGAUUGUCUUCUAAAUGGCUUCGCUCUCCUUCUAUUGCAUCACUUAAGAUGCCAUCCUUGAGUCUUUCUAGAUGUCCAUCAAAGGGAUUGGAUUUGAGAUGCUUUCUAAGAGAUCCCUUCUUAGGAAGGUUCAAACUAUAUGCACUCAAAGGUCUCUUAUGAAGCAGGAAGUUUAAGCUCAUCCCAAAUGAAUUUCCAAAGGUAGAAUUUCUUGUUCCCUGAGAAUUUCUUCUUCCAAAGGUAGCAUUACUAGUUUGGGUUGGAUAGCCGAAUCAUGAGAUUGAAAUGUUUGGAAAUCGGCUAUUGAAACUUCCUUUCCUCGUCUGGGAGAUGAUUCCUUCUCUAUCUCUAGGAUUUUUUUAUGAAGACUCAUGCAAGAAGGAUGUCCACGAAUGAAGACAUACCUUGCUUUAUUAACAGGUAAAGAAAGAAAAACUCUACCAAAGGUUAUAUGAUUAAGACCAAUGUGAAAAUAUUGAGGAAAAACAUGGUCUUGUAGGGCUAGGUUUAAACCAGAAUUUAUAGAAAGAUUAAAAGAUUCCCUAGGUGUAGCUAAAAGUUAAUUAUCUUCUUGAUUAAAAGAUAGGACCUCGGCUAUAGAAAAGGGUUGGUUUUGACCUAUUGCAAUCAACUCCGGACAGAGAUCAUAAUUAGGGGCAAAGAAAGGACUCGUUGUGUUGGUGCAAAAGCUGAUCUGCAAACACAAAGGGCUAAUACCCGAUUCAAACGUUAAGGCGUGCCAGCCGAUUGGACCUUACAAUCGACAAAGGUGGUAACUCGAACACUUUGGUCCCGACAACAGCGAUGCGCCCGGAUGUCACGACCAAGAGGUGCUCACGCGGAACUUGAGAACACGCCGAGUUUGACUCGACUAAUUCAUAAGAACUCAUAGUAAAAAGGAAAAUAUGACGAAGUCAUCAAAAAGUAGAUGCUGGAAUAUGAGUAAAACUUGUGUUUGAUUGAUUGAUAGAUAGAUGUCUCAUUACAUUGCCCUAGGGUCUACAUUUAUACCCUGUCCAAAGAGCUACAACUAGACACGACUAGGACUCAAAUUCCAUAUUAAACGGAAACCGUAUACAAAACGAAUUCUAAUAACUAAGGAAAAUAUUAAACUAGCCCCCGUAACUGAUCGGGACACCACCACGAAUCAAUUGGCAACUUCCACGCUUUCCUCCAGAGUCAUUGGCAGACUACCUGUUACGGCCAUCGGCAAAUACUGGCACUGGUCAUCGGCACGAAUAUACCAUCACUUCUGGACUUUGUCAUAUUCGGUUGCCUCCCCAUCGGCAACCACUUUCAUCGGCAACUUCGCUGCAGACUGGUCACCACUGCUCCAUCUGCUGAUCUACAUCUCGAUCAUUAACUCCAGAUGCGUAUCAAAAGAUACGUGUCCAAAAACGGUGUCAACACAUGCCCCCCAAUUUUGGAGUAUAAAAUCAUUAAUGCUUCGAAAUUCUCUGAAGUAAUGACGCCUUUCCGCAAUUAUUUCUCCCAAUUUGGUAAUCAGUCGCCAAAUCUAAACAACCUUGGCCCGAUUCUCCUGUAGAUUCUUCGAAUCUCUCCACUUUAUGCGCUCAUCGGCAAUAUUACCGUAAGAGAAAACUGCCGAUGGGCCGACCAGGCGAUCUUGUACAGUGAAAUAUCUUCAAAAUCAUAACCGCUUGCUGUUAAAUCACCUGCGCAAUCCCUUGAUUACCAUGCGAACAGUUACCAUAUCCACCUGAACACCCUCAGAUUUCACGGAUGCGGCAAAGAGAUAAGUCAGAUUUGCCCUUGCCCAUUUUGUCCUAUAAAUACUUUCUUCUCCGGUACUCCUUCUCCAUCUUAUCAUUCUACAGCCCAAAAUCCACUUUCCUGGCGGCGGCAUUGCCCGAGAGCUCCAAGAACUUCAGCAAGAGCCUCCUUCAUCAAUCCUCCAGGUCUUCGAUCCUCUUCCUCGUGAAGAAAUGGCCAUCAACUUCGUCGUUCCUCAGGUCAGUCUAUGAUCCUUUUUCUUUUCGCAUUUUUGCUGUACUCCUGUUCAUCCGCGAUUCCUUUUACUGAGUACCCCUUUUUUUCUUUUUGUUCUUUCAUCCUCAAAACUUUUAGGAUUUGGCCGAUAAGAUUGUAACUCCCAUUGAUCAACCUCACUUCCAAUGUCUCAGCCCGUUAGGAAAUCCAGAUCCCACCGAUCUAAUAAACACAGAGACAAAUAGAAUCCCCUUUAGACCCGAAAACUUGUCUUUGGAUCUGUGGAAAGAUGCUUUUCGUUCCUGGCCUAGCCCUACCAAGGGAUGGAAAGACUGGUUCUUGAGAGUCAUCCACUCAAAUGAUGUCCAGUGGGGUGAGCGGAAAUUAGACCAGUGCAUCAGAUUAUCCCUUGCCAAUAUGGAGAGAAACGAGUCACUACUCAUAGCUGCCUCGUAUUUUUGGUCAGACACGCUCAAUGCUUUUGUAUUCGGUCAGGCCCUGCUUCACCCACUCUUGCCGAUGUACUUAUGCUCACCGGCUUAGACAUAUCCACUGCCGAUAAUAGUCACAUGUUUGACACCAAGCCCAGUUCUAAAGUAGAAACUCACGCUAUCGGCGGUUGGUCUGGGUACAUUCAGAAGUACCGAAAGACAGGAUCUGUCAGGGAAAGGGAGCAGGCAAUUUUUUUGAACAUGAGGCUCGAUAAGUUUGUGUUCUGUGGCUGAUCGGCAGGACCAACCUCUGUCUAUCUAUCGGCAGCGGAAAGACUGGCCAAUGGUGGCCGAUUUCCUCUUGGCCGAUACUUGCUCGGCUCUAUUUACCACCUCCUCCACCAGGUAGCUAAGAAACUCCUGCUAGGCUAAUCCAUCGGCGACUUAGGGGGACCCUGGUGGUUCAUCAACAUGUGGCUUAGUGUCCACAUGCAUAAGCGCCUUGGAUUUGACCUCUUUGCACAGCGCUUCCCUAGAGAUAUAGCCAAAGACCAUGAGUUGGACGAAGAAGAAUCGGCAACUUGUUCCCCUCUGAACUAUGGUGAAGCUGCCAUAGUCUUACCUAGUACUGGAGGCAAUGAAGACCAGGUUAGCCGAUUUUUUCAGACUCUUUAUGAGGGUCUGGCUAGAGAGCAGUGAGCAUGGAUGCCUUAUGAGGAUCCAGACACCAGAUUCCCUCUGACCUUCCAUCCCUUUGACAAUGCUAUCAACAAGGACCAUGAUCUGAUGAUGGCAAAUAUCACUCCAAGAGCUAUACCAGUGAAUUUCUUUGGUAGUGGGAAAGCCUCCAAUCUGACUUAUGAGUUCUAUAACCCAUCGGCACUAGCUCGCCAACUAGCCUUUGGACAACUACUGAUUGCGCUCUGCUACGCCGAUGUGGUGAAACCAAGAGAAAUCAUAACCAGCGGUCUCGAGUGGAUCAGAAUAGCUCAACUUCCACCAAAUGCCGAUACAGACGUUGAUCUAUCGGCUAGGAUUCCGGCUCUCUUCAUCACCCAGGCAUACAAGCAGUGGUGGGAGGAAUAGAAAGAGCACCUGUUCUGCAGAUCGGCCCUCACGUAUUGCGGCAUGAUCGACCCCAAGUACAAAGUUCCCGAGAACACUGUAAGUUUCCAACCGAUGCUUCAAUUUUCUUAUAUUACUUUUAUUUUCAUCGGUAACUCACUUCCUCUCUUUUUAAUUAGAUCGAUGAUACACCACCGACAGUCAGCAGGAGCGGAAGGCAGAUCAAACUCCUUCCAUCGGGCGCGAUCUCUCUGAUCGGUAAUAAUGCGCCAAGCUUGGCGGCACCGGGGUGUACGUUUCAAGAAAAUCACCACCAGGCGAGCGAAGACAUCCCCAUCGGUAGCUGCUACUGCUUCGGCACAGGCUUUCAAGGUAAAUUCUUGACUUAUUCAACUUAUUCCGAUUCCAUUCCAUACUUACAUAAUCCUUUCAGGACACAUCGGCCACUAUGGGAACAUCAUCGGUAAUUUUACCAUUCCGACCAGAAUUUCAUCAACUCCUUAUCACGCUUGUACUUACGAAACUUUUGUUGUUGUAUCAGCAACCCGGCAAAUCAGUAAAGACCAGAGGUACCAACACAAGUGCCGAUGCCCCCCAUGCCAGUCAAGCUAAGAGAAAGGGUCCCAAGAGUACCAAGUCACAGGCAAAAUGUCAGAAAACAGCGCCACCUUCUUCUCCUCCCCUAGUGUCACUGAUUCACGUGGAAUCGUCCCCUUCUUCGCCAGAAGCUCAGACACAACAAGUACCAUCUCCACCUCAGCCACAAGAAGAACCUCAGCCAGAAGAACCUCAGCCAGAAGAACCUCAGUCAGAAGAGACAUCAGUCGAUGUACAUGAACAGACCGCCGAUCCAGUAGGUUUAAUCAUAGCAUUGGUGGUGUCCUCAAUUCAGACAAGCAUCGCAUCCCCUCAAGGUAAAAUACUAUCUAUGAAAUUAUUACCGAUGGACCUAUUUUUCCAUUUUACAGUUAUCCCUGUCAAUUUUUUAGCCGACAUCAUCCCAUCGGCAACUCCGGCCGAUCAACCUGUAGUACCAUCAGCCUCAACUAGCCAGAGGCGAGAGAUAGCUCUGAAACAAGUAAGCCAUUUGAUUAUCAUUCUUUAUUUUACUAAUAUUUCAUCAUCAAAUUGUAACACCCCAGUGUUAUGGUUGCAUCAAUCACAUGCAUAACAUGAGCAUCAUCAUCUACUCAAGCAUAUCAUGAUCAUCAUCUACCUUGAGCCAUGUCAUUUUAUGCUUUAGUGUGCUUUAACUUGCUUUAAUCAUGCUUCCUAUGCUUGUGUUUGUGUGAACCAUGCUCAUGCUUGUAUGCUAUGCCUUGGUAAAUAGUUUAACUAUGCUUAACUCAACCUUAGUAACAAUGUUCAUGUUGAUCACUUCUCCAAAAUAAUCUCUUAAGUCUUGCUUCCAUGUAUAUACCUAGAAACCCCUUUUGCUUGAGCUUUUAAAAAGUGUUUCAUAAAAUACUUGCAUGUCAAAACUUUCUACAGAAAAGUUGUAUAAAAUUUUAUAAGGAACAAAAGUUGUUUUGGGGCCAUCUCAUGAAAAUGAUCACAUCUAGCUCAAAAGUGACCCACAAGUCUAGGGACGUAGCAGUUUGCUCGAUCGAUUUUGAAAACCUCAUAUCUCUCAAUCCAGGCCGAUCUGGCUUUUGCUCUAGUUCACAAUGUUGUAGAACUCAGCUAGUACUCCAACUCUGUCAACUACACCAUCUCCUAACUUGCUUUGGUUUGGAAGUUAAUCAUUGUUGAUGUAGAUCUGUCAGUCGGUGAUCGCGUGGUCUGAUUCAGAGCCGAGCUCGCCGUCGUGGUCGCCCAGUGCGACACCUGGCUGCCAUUUGGUGCCUGUACGCCGGCGUUGGCCCCGCUCGUCAGGUCAUCGGCGUCGUCAUGGAUGCCACGACACUCCGCACUCGCUCAGCGCCCGUCUACUCUCUUCCUUCCUCUAUCUCUUGCGACUCCGUCGGCGACAGCGCCAUCGCCAUUGCCGCCGCGAGCAUCGCGAGCUCUUUGUGCCCUCGCCUCUGCAUCUUGCCUCGCCUCCGAGCAUAUCCAAGUCCGCCUCGAGCUCCUCCAUCUUUUCCACCCCUUGGCUGGACGAGAUCUCCCCGAGGUGAGCGACAUUUCGCGAGUUCGUCGUCGUCGGGUUCACGGCCGUCGCGACCCCGAUUCCGGCGAACCUCGUCGCUGCUCUGUUCUCGCCUCCUUUCUUCCCUCUGAGUCGCGUUAAGGUCUGCUUAGGUCUUGGUAUCGGUUCAUGUCACGCCAUUCCGGCUGAGGCACCACCGUCGUGCGGGAACACGGCCGCCGCACCGCCGUGCUCACCGCCGACGAGCACCUCGCACGUGAGCAGGCUCACCGGAGCCGUUAGGGUUAGGCGUUUCUACCUAGAAAGCUCUGCGCUGGUGCUUAAGCCGCUCUUUCCCGACGCUCUACCGGUCGGAGAUGGCCGGCGUAAGCCGGGGUAGCUCCGCUGUGCCGCCAUGGCUGACGGCGACCCCUCUCCGUCGCUGUAACCCUAGUGCCACCUACCUCCAUCGAUGCAGCGUCAGAGAAGCUCACCGUCGGCGAGCAUUCGCCGGCAAAGGUGUCCUCUGUUCUCUGGGUCGCUGACACGCGGGACCCACUGUCAGUGACUCAACGGUCUUCUCCUUUCUUUUAUUCAAAUCAAGAUUUUUGGUUUUCUUGCAAAAAUCAUAUCUUCUAUUUCUGAGAUCCAAAAAUUGUGAAACAAAUUUUGUGAUACUCUUUGAGAUGGCUAAUUUUUAUUAAAAUGUAAAAUGUACCAUUUUUUCUAGGAAAAAUAAUUGUUAUAAUUUAAUAUUGAUUACUUGAGUAUAAAUUCAUAUCUCUUGAUUUACUACUCCUUUUUCUAUGAAAUUUUUGUGGUAGUCUCUGAGUGUCAUUGGAAUGCUAUGAUAAAUAUUUCAUGAGAUUUGGAGUAAUGUAUAUGUGAUAUGUAAUUUAUGUUUGUGAUAUGGCAUGUUUUCUUAUUUAAAUCAUAAUAAAUAUUUGGUGCUUAUGCUGGUGCUCAAUUCUGGUAUCAAACUUGUUUAUGGUAAUAGAAACAUGUAAAUAAUCUGAAAUCUGUUGUUUGACACUAUCUAAACCAUGUUUCUUAAUUUAUGAAAUAAGCACCUUGUCACAUGUUAAAUGCUUAUCUUGAAUUUGGCAUGUGCAUUUGUUCUGAAACUUUUAUGGUGGUGUCAAGAUGCUUUGCUUGUGCUUGUGUAAUUUUUGUAGAUUUUUCUGAGCACUUCUGUUAGUAUCUUGUAAUUAUGUCCCUUUAUUUAAUUAAAUUAAUAAGAGCCAUGAUAUUAAAUGUUUAGGGGUUAACAUAUGAUAUUAUGGUCCUAUUAUGAUAUACUUGUGCUUGUAAGCCAUUUGGUUGGCACUGUUUAUGCUUUGGCUAUGUCAUUAAAUAAUUAAUUGAAGGCUUAUAGCUGUCCUGGACAGCAAGAGAGCAAUCUAACCUUUGCUUGAUGAUAAUUUGGUUUGCUGGAAGACUUGUCUAAAUCAAAGUUGUUGUAAACUUUAUGAACUAGCUGUGGUUUAAUUUUGGGAUCAUUUGGUCCAAUAGUUUAAAAGUUAUAGCUCUUCCAAGUUAGGUUCCAGAAAUAGGUGUUCUCUGUUUUUCUGGGACAGAACCUGGAACUUUGUUUAAAUGACUUGUUUAACUGAUGAAUCUUGCUAUGAUGUCUAAAGAUGAAAUGUUGAAAAUUUCAUAAGCUUUCCAGAAUGUCCUCAUUCAUGUUUGUUGGAUCUGUACAGCAGCAGUUAUGAUUUAUUUCUUGAGCUGCUCUGUUGUGAAAGGAUUUCUGUUUAUGGUUUGACUUGCUAGGUCUUGUUAAGUUAAUUAGUUAUUCUUUGUGAGGUUAUCUUGGAAGUUUAUUCAGUAAACGAGUGUCCAGUGAACUUCAAAUUACAUUGUCAAGCAUUCAUCCCCAUCUAGUAUGCACCCAUUCUUACUUAGCAUGCAUGCAAUAGGUGCACCGGAUGCGACAGCUUCCCUCGAGCUCCUAGUGAACCCCGAGGGCCAAGAGAUCAACCCGGAAGUGGAGGUCCAGCAAGCCGGACUCGAGGAGCCCGAAGAAGAGAUUGAGUGCCCGACACGAGCCUACAUCGUUCGUGAAAGGCAAGCCCCGGAGCAUCUUAAGUCUCCCACUUUAUUUUCGAAAAGCUUACUUGAUUAUGUUAUCCCUGCUUGACGUAUAGGAGUUGUGAUGACACCCUUGCUGCAUUUUACUCAUUCCUUGUCCAGAUAUCUUACCACCACUGGUUAUAGGGGUAGGAUCGAGUAGCAGCUUAGCCAUGCUUUAAUUGGUAGAAGUCGGGUGAUAUCCUGUCACCUGCGCAAGAUAGGGUUGUGUCGGAUCACGAUUGUCUAUAUGUGCUAUCGUGGAAGGAACCUGAGUAAAUUGACUUAAGCCGGGCGGAGUUUUGCAAGGUUGUAGUAACUCCGUCUGUGGCAGCUAAGGACCGAUCGUUGUACAUCCUCUUGUCAUGUUGAACGCAUGCCCAACACUUAGUUGGCUGGAUAACUCGUUCCGACCGCAAAGCCUAGUAGUAUGACUCAGGCCGGAAGACCGGCAAGUAUAAAGUGCGCACUACCGGAGGAAGUGCGGUGUGCGGGGCACCAUUGGCGUAAGAACAAAGGCAGGUGAGUUAAAAUUCCUGACCUCCCUGGCAGAGUGGUAGCCCUGGGAGUGCGGCGCUGAUCGGAGCCGCGAUUCCUGAGUCGUACCAAAGGUGAUCCGCUGGCUCUCCGAUGGGGGAUGCUUGGGUGAGUGCUAGGAAUAACCCUCCAGCUGGAUAGGAAUCGAUUCAAAUCGCCGUCUCUCCCGGAUAGUGAGAACUUGACAGAGCAGCGGAAACGUAGCAUCCACUAAAGAACAAUGGUUCGUGAUAAUGAUGAUAGCAAGGAAGAACACUUGAUGAACUUGAUAUGGUUAUUAGUGCUUGUAGUAAUCAAGUGAAGUGUUUUAGUACAGGUGCUAAUCUAGGGGUAGGCUAAUGAUGAUCAAUAUGAUGCUAAUACCAGUUGUUGGUAAUUAAUUAAGCUUUUGGCAAAGGUUGAGUCAAGCCAGCUACACUUAUUCUCAGACUUGCAUAAUUCUUGGUGUCUUUUAUGUUUUACUAGACACGUAAGUCUAGCUGAGUACAUCCUCGUACUCAGGGUUUAUUCCCACCUGUUGCAGAUGAUAUCUUUCAUGAUGGCUUCUGCAAGACCUAUCUCCAUCCCGCUGGGGAUGAAGACUAAACCGUUGGGCAUGGUUCUCUAACUACUUCGUAUCUGUUGCUUUUGGAUGGAUGGCAUGAGACCCUAGCAGGAACAAAAACUUGUGAAAUGAACUUUGGAAUGUGAGAUGUAAACUAUUUUGCUUCCGCUACAUCAAACAUGUGUUGUAAUAACUCAGUAACUCCGAUGUGGUGCCGCUUCGACGACAAUGAAUGACUUUGUAACAUUCGUUGUGUUAUGUUGAACUAUUACGAUCUUGGUUUGUUGCAAGUUGGUUUCAAGUCCUUCGUGAUUUUAGUUGACUACCGGGAUUAUAUGGGCUCAUGUUUGGAAACUUGAUUGCUAGUUGAUCGUUUCUACACUUGAUCUCUUAUAAUUUGGUCGGUUCUGUGACAGCUGGCAUUGGAGCAAGUUUAGUAUUAUAAAUGCAGCGUCUGUGUAUUUAAAAACAAAAGAGUUUCUAGAUAAAAAUUGUGAAAAUCAACACUUAAAUAUGCCAGUGGUUGAAUCCUCCUUGCCCAUAUAAGGACUAUAGGUGGCUAUUUAAGUACUGACUUGGGGGGUUUUAUUUAUGCAUCUCCGACAGUACUCAGGUAUGGAUGUGUGAUGACCGCACUAUGCUACCCUAUGGUCUAAUGGUAGAGGUAGCCUUCAUAUGUGAAUUAGCCACAUAUGUCACCAGAUUUAAAUUAUGCAACGUCGCACCUACGCUCUGGUAAGUGUGAGCUGUGAGAGCAUGAUCGUCCAAACGGCAGUCUAGGGGAGUGUUCGCGGUGGUUUUCUAGAGUGGUAACAUGUCUAACCAUGGAACCACGAAAGAAACUUAAUUGGGGAGCAUUUAAUUUCUCGCGUAGCUGUGGUGUCAUUGUUUGUGCAUGUUGGGCAUGUAUAAGCAAUGUGCACUUAGUUUACUGCUUUCUUGAGUGAUAUAUUGGGAAUUGUUGGGCUGCAGUGAAGUUUUCUGCAGGUACUCUAACAGCGCACGUGUAAAUCGCUAGUUAUCGUAUUGAGAGACGAAUGCAUGCCACCGUAUAUCCGUUAGAAUAUUUAUUUUCUAAGUUUGUGAGGACGUAUGGUUCAUGCAUGCAUCAUGUCGCAUUCAUAUAUACAUUCUGUCUACUCCUUCCCUUACAAUAUCGUCCCUUUUAAUUAAAGAAAUGUUGCUUAAACUAAUCCUCUUUUACCCACGGUUAUUCCUUUCCACGGAUGGACGUGCCCGCUUCACCUCGCCCCAGUGACACCUUUUUGAGCGAGUUUGGCACUCCUACCUUGCUCUGGAGGGUGCUACAGUUUGUGGGGUAUACUAAGCUACCUCAGUAUUCUUGGUGGGAGGUAGAUAUGAUAGGAGAGCUGCAGUGGUUUGCUAUGUAGGGAGUUGUCCCGCCACAUGGGGGCAGGCCUACAUGGACAGGGUGGACCUGCAACUCAGAUGGGCGGACUCCAUGGGAUGCAGCUCAGGUUGCAGCCCAUGCGAUGCUGCUCAACAUCUGUCAGAGGUUUGGCGAUGAGCUGACAGGAGGGCCAGCGGCCACCAUUCCCCGUGCUAACCCAGCAGCAGCGGAGUGGAAGCAGGCUGAUGGUUGUGCGUUGGUCCAAGGCCGAGGAAAGCGAGCUGAGAGUUCUAGUCCUGCUAUGAGUGCUAUGAUGGCUGUGCUCAAGCUGUUCUGAAGGGUCGAGAUGGCGGACUAGAGGGGGGGGUGAAUAGUCCUUUCUAAAACUUAUCGCGCCGGCUAACCGAAACAAAUGCGGAAUUAAAACUAUCGGUCUAGCCAAGACUACACCCCUCUAUCUAAGUUCUCUAGAACCUUGCAAAGAACCUAAACAAGCAAGCAAGGUGCUACCUUAGCAAGAGCUCACCUAACCAAUUCUAGGAGCAAGGUCACACAAACCUAUGCCACUAGUACUUUGCAAACCGGGGGAGCUCCUACACAAACUAGUGAGGCAAAGCGCACAAAGCCUAAGCUCACUAGCAAGCUCAAUAACAAGGCAACUAAUGCCAAAUUAGAGAGCGCAACUUACUUAGCUACACAAACUAAGCAAUGUGACUAACAAGGUUACACAAACCAAAUUAGUCACGCAAGGGAACUACUUCUAGCUACACAAGCAAGAAGGUAACUAGCAAGCUACACAAGCUAAGUAAUUACAAGAACAACUACACAAGAACAAGUAUACUAAAAGUAAAUACAAGCUUGUGUAAAGUGAAUGCAAACCACCGAGAAGAGUAGACAAUGUUGACACGGUGAUUUUUACCGAGGUUCACUUGCUUGCCACCAAGCUACGUCCUCGUUGUGGCGAUACACCCACUUGAUGGAUCACGAGCUAAUUGGCAUUCCAAAGCCAAACCCUCAGCGGGUGCCGCACAUCCACUCUCAAGAUGGGGAUCCUCCAAGCCACAACCAAUCCACUAGAGUUGCUCUUCGCGAUCCCCGCGGGGUGAGCACCGUAACCCUCACAAUAUCUUCUCCGGAGCACCGCACAAUCUCCUUGCGUGCUUCGACGGAGUCACAAGCCACCAAGCCGUCUAGGAGGUGGCAACCUCCAAGAGUAACAAGCACCACCGGCUUGCAACAUGAACACCUAGUGCCACUCGAUGCAAUCUCUCAAUGCAACGCACUAGAAUCGCUCACUCACACAAUCGGAUGAACACUAUCAAGCAUAUGUGAGUUAGAGGCUUCACUAGCACUCCCCAAGCAUGGACACUAAGUCCUAAGGGUGCUCAGCACUGGCCAAGGCCGGCCACAACUUCUAUUUAUAGCCCCAAGGGCUAAACUAGCCGUUACCCUUCACUGCGCAAAAGUCGACCACACCGGACGCGUCCUAGUUCACACCGGACGCGUCCGGUAUUGACUAGACCAGCGUCCGGUGCUCUUGACCGUUAGAAAACUAGCCGUUGCCUCUAACACUGACAGGGCACCGGACUCUAGCUUUUGAAAUACCGGACGCGUCCUAGUUCACACCGGACGCGUCCGGUGUGCACCGGACCCAAACUCAAAGAGCGUCGCAAACUUGAGUCAACACCGGUCGCCACACCGGACGCACACACCGGACGGUCCGGUGUGCACCGGACUCACACCCAGAGAGCUCUGCAAGAGGAGUUUGCACCGGACGCCAACUCGGACGCGUCCUGGUUCACACCGGACGCGUCCGGUGUGCACCGGACGAAAGCUCAGAGCGUUUCACCGAGAAACGAACUCACCGGACGAGGCACACCGGACUCUAUGCGAAAACUCUUUCCGCGUCCGGUGCCUCAACUCGGACAUGUCCGAACUCAUACCGGACGCGUCUGGCCUGAACGCGCUGCACGAAAAGAACUCCAACUUCUUCCCUUGCUUCCAUGUGCCAACACCAAAGUGUCUCCACACUUGUGCACGUGUGUUAGCAUUUUCUCAAACAUUUUUCCAAGGGAGUUAGCCUCUCAAUCUUGCCACGCCACUUGAUCCUAACACGUAUGCAAAGUUAGAUCGCUCAAGUGGCACUAGAUGACCGAUAUGCAAACAAGUUUGCCCCUCUUGAUAGUACGGCCAUCUAUCCUAAAUCCGGUCAUAAACUUCUACACACCUAUGACCGGUGAAAUGGAAAUGCCCUAGGUUAUACCUUUGCCUUGCGCUUUCCAUUCCAUCUUCUCCAAUGUUGAUGCAACACAUGCACCAACCAAUCACCAAAUGAUAUGAUUCACUUCAUAUCAUCACGUGACCAUAUUGGUUCAUCGAUCUUGACCUCACUUGCUCUUCACCGUUGCCUUGGUCCAUCGGUGCCAAGUCUUGCUCAAGCUUCACCGUCACACGCGGUCCCUCGCUUCAAAGCCUCCGACUUGCCCUUCACUCUUGCAACCGGUCCAUCAAGCCAAGCCUCAUCUUGAUCUUCUCCACCUUGGUCACAUGACUCCAUGUCAUGUCUCAUAUGCAAUGAGCUCCUUCAUCACAUCAUCACCUGUGGACUAAUCUCCUGUGUAUCUCACACAAACACUAUUAGUCCACCUAAGUUGUCACUCAAUUACCAAAACCAAACAAGGACCUUUCAAUCUCCCCCUUUUUGGUAAUUGAUGACAACUCUACAAAGAUAUGGAAAUUAAAGCUUUUUCAAGCUAGCACUUCACACAAGUGUAAAUUGCUAACUUGUUUUGGAUUUUAUGCUACUUAUCCAACAUUUUAAGCUCUAUGUCAAGAUUUGGAUAAGCACCAUAAAACCCUACUAAGUGCUAAGGUGUAUAGAAUAAACCUUUGUAGCUUGAUACCAAGUUCGAUAGCAUUUGAAGCAUUCAAUGUACACCAUCCUUAGCACCGUGAGUAGCUAGACAACAAAAACACUAGAAACCCCGUGAGAUCAACAUUAAAAGCAAGGGUCUAGUCUUUACUUGAAGAACACAAGUCUGGCUACCAACCUAUGCAUGCUAGUUAUCAUAUCAUCAAUCAAGUUCUAUAACUAGCAUACACCACACAAGCAUGCAUAUUUGAAUUUUAAAACUUAUGCAAUGCAAGCAAGCACAUGAGUAUGCACAUAUCAAAUGCAAACAAUCAAUGUUCAUGAGCUUGCUCCCCCUACUUGUGUGCUUCCCUUGUCCAAGACUUUUGAUCCAACUCUUUUCCUUAAUGUUGCUCCCUUGUCCAUGUCCAUCUUUGAUUUUUCCCCUUUGGAACAUAUCUUUUGUUGUCUAACUUAUCCCAUGAUCAUAUCUUUGUGACAACUUCUCCCCCUUUGUCAUCAAUUUCCAUAAAAGGUAUGUGAUACCAAUUAAAUCACUUGAUACCAAUUGUAAAAAUGUGAAUCUCAUUGUGACAAAGGAUCGCAUUGGGAUAGAUGGUUGAGGCUUGAAUCUUGUAUUUUUGAUCGACAUCACCAUAUGUGUUGGAAUGACAUUACUUGAAUUGCUCUUGAGAUACCACUUAGGACCUUUGACCUUGAUACCAUUUGGUGGGACACUCCCCCUAUGUCAUAGCAUGGGUCAUUCACUUGUCAAUCUUGUUGGUGAGGGAACUUUCUUUGCUUGAUGAUCACUUAAAGUUGAGGAUCACUUGUGGAACCACCUUCUUGUAUGAUAGAUACCAUAUGUAUAAAUGUGAUAUCACUUGAAAUAUCUUGUCCGAUACCAUAUGGGAUUCUUCUACCAAUUAAGGUCUUCUAGUAUGGAACCACUUGUUUGCUUUCUUGAACAUUUGCUAUCAACAUGAGUACCAUUUAUUGGAUACCAAUUAAAGAAACAUUUGAAUUUAUAUAUCCAUUUGCAUUGUUGUCUUGUUCUUGUACUCUAAUCUUCAUGAGCUUCUAAUUGUUGACUUGAACUAGGUUGAUUUGCCUAAGCUUCCAAGUCCGGUUUGAACCAAUGACAAGCUUCUUCACACCUCUCAUUAAGGGUUAUCUUGCCAAUGUUGUACUUGUCACUUGUUAACAAACCAAAAUAGAUCAAGUACUUGGGUUUACUAGCUCACGAAUAAACUCAUAUACAUACCACUAGAUCAACUAAGCAUUCAAGCAAUAGUGGUAGGCUAUGAAUUUAAAACAUUUCAUUUGUCAUGCAUGAUCCUAUGAAGCAUGUACUAUAUGCACUAACCGCAUACUAGUAAAGGAUGAAAUGAUCAUGCACAUUACAAUGAUACCUUUGCUAUCUUGGAGUAGAGGAUAGUCAAUAAGAUUCCAAUUUAGCUCCAAAUAGCAAUGUGAAGUCGAACUAUAAGCUUGGUGAAGACCAAUCAUGAAUGCCAAUUGAUAGAUCAAAUCUUCACCCAUAUGAAUUUAGAACCACUUUAUGAUCAAGUGCACUAUCUUGUUGUGGUUGGCUUGCUUCUUCUUUUGACCAUUGCUUGCAUGAGAGAACUAAUAAGAAUACCACUUGAACAUCAUGACUAGCUCUCUUUUGGGUGUUGCUUGCUCUCUUGAUCAAUCCUUUUGAUUGCUUCAACUAAGCAUCUCAAAUGUCCUUUAGAUCACCACUUCCAUGUUAGCCUUCCAAGCACCACACUUGGUUUACCCACUCCUCGGGCGGCACGCCCCUCACAUAGGGAGAAGUGACCUCUCUCCAAAAAAUCAUUCUUGAUACUCACUUGAAUUACUUUGAUUGAUUGAUUCAAGUGAUGGACUUAACAUGAUGAGUAACCAUGAAUUCCUGUUUAAGUCCUUCUUUUUUUUUACUUGUUUAAGUCCUUUUCUUUCUACCAAAUGAUCUCCAAUAGUCACUAGAACUUAAACUUCAACUUCAUCUUGAGUUUGAUCUUGAUCUUCAAUUUGAGUACUGAAUGUGUACACCAAGUACAUUCCUCAAUCAAAUGACCUCGUACUCAUUACUUGUCAUGCUUCUAGAUCAAUUCAAAACCAAACUCAGGUGCCUCAAAUACUUAUAAUCAUAUUCCCAACUUGAGCACCUUUCAAUUGAAGUGACUCUAGAUCAAUCCAAUAAUUGUCACUUUUCUGGCAGAUUCUGUACCUUUCAAAGAAUAACUUAUAUCUCACAAUGUACAGAUCCAAAUACUACUAAAUUUGGUGGAGAUGUGCUUUACUGAGUCAUCUAGCAGCUGUAAAAAUUUGAGAUUUAUUUGACUUCUAGAUUGCUACCAGAUUUCAAUUCUUCCACCACUGUACAUGCUGAAAACUGCUGCAUAAUAGCUGAUAAGAUCCACUCCAAAACCGAAGUAUUCUUUAUCCAAUUUCCAUGAAAUUUCUACAGCACUUUCUAUCAUAAGUGUACAGAAUGCACACCAAAUUUCAAGCCAUACCAAAUAGAUUUGAUCACUCAAACUCAGACUUGAUCACUGCUAGCUCAGUUUUUCAAUAUUGGACAGAUUUCAAGCAAUUGAGCUAUGCUUCUUUAAAUUGAAUCAAACUUGAAAGAGACUUGUUUGAACACUUUCACAAGAUGUAUAUCCAUUCAAUCCACUUACUAAAAGUCAUAUCAUGAACUUAUUCAACUCAAAUCAAUCCAAACUUGAUUACUAAUCAUUUAAUCCAUUCAAACAUCUUAGAGCAAGCAAUAUUGCAUAUAUAUCCAAUUCAAUCAACUUAUAUGCACCUAAAUGAAUGUGAUCAACAAAGAUAUACCUUGGUUAGCUCAUGAUCAUCUAAUUUGCAAGCUUCAACUUUUGUAAUUGCAAGCCAUCAAAUAAUCCAAUAAAUCACCAUAACUUGAAUAUGACACUUGUAUGUUGUAGCACAUUUGGACUUCACUAUCUUGUCUUGGCAUUGGGAUGAGAUAAGCACUAAGCUUCAAUACUUGACUCAAUCAUAUGAUGAAUAAUAUAAGAUCAAUUGAAUCAAGUCUCCAAUGCCGAUGGUACCUACACACAAUCAUCCACUUUUUGAUGGUACCCAAACUAGUUUGGGUCCUCUCAAGUUAGGUGCAACAUACUUAGGCAUAGCCUUAGUAUGAGUAGCGGGAUGUUUAGCAAUAGCAACCAUAGAGGUACCAUUACCAUCCUUUCUAAGCAUAGUAUUAUCAUCAAUUGAAAUAGGCUUAGAAUUAUUACCUAGGGGACAUGAAUAAGCCAUGUGUCCCCUUUUCCGGCACAAGUAGCAACUUCUCUUUGAUUGAGCCUUUUCUUCCUUGCUCAUGUGUUGCUUCUCAUUGCCUUGCCUCUUGAGAGUUGCUUGAGCCUUCUUCUCAAGCUUGGUAGGACACCUCGAGGCAAAGUGUCCAUCAUUCUUGCACUCAAAGCAUUUGAUGUGAGAGAGGUCUUUUGAUGAUCUUGAUUGUCUACCUCCCCUUCUUGUCUUCUUCUUCAUCAUCCCCAUGUCACCACCAUCUUCAUGGUAGAUCUUGACUUGAGCUUGGGGCUUCUUUUCUUGCUCAACUUGUGGCUUUUGUUGAGGCUUCGCUUGAUGCUUCACCAAUUGCUUGGUUGGGCACAUUGAGGUGAGAUGACCCCAAGUGCGGCACUUGAAGCACUUGACAUGCUUUAGCCUCUCUUCUUUCAUCUUCUUGAGCUUCUCUUUGUUUGGGCAACCAUUUGCAAGAUGUCCCACUUCAUGGCACCGAUAGCACAUGAAAUGAGAAAGCUUUCUCUUUUUAUUUUGCCCUUUGUCAUCUUUUCCUUGAAGCCAAGGCCACACUUGUCACCAUAGUUUCUUUGAGUCUUCAAUAUGUGCUCAAAGGUGACUUUUGAGUAGUAGCACCUCUCCAACUUGUUGCUCAAGAUCUUCACUUGUUCAUUAAGCUUAUUGUUCUCCUUCAAAAGGUUAGUCUCACAAGACAUAGAAGUAGAACAAGCAUCUAUAUGUGAAGAACAUGGCAUAGAUAAUAAAUCAUCACAAGAGGUGGAUACAUGCUUCUUUCCUACAUCACAAGGGUUAGUAAUAUCACAUGAUUGAUCAUUUGACUCAAAUGAUGAGCUCUCACUAGUUUUAAUUUCUUUAUUAGAAAGCUUCUUAGUGAGAAAAGCAUGGUCUAAUACCAAAUUAUCAUGAGCAACACUAAGUUCUUCAUGAGCCAUUUUUAGCUCCUCAUGUGAACAAGUAGUAACAUAAAGUAGAUGUUUUUGUUGUUCACAUGUGGUCUUUAGAAAUGAGUUUUCAUUUUGCAAUUUCAAUGUUUUAGCUUUUUCAUUUCCUAAAGACAUGGUCAUGCUAGCAAGUCUACUAACAAGCUCAUCAUAUGAGACAACAUGAUCAACCACAUUAGCAUUAUAUACCUUGGUGUCACCUUGUGACACGAAGCUAUGUGGUGUAGUGGAUGGGCUUGUAGUAGCAUCAUAAUCAAGGCUUGAGCAUGAACCAUCACCUUCACCAUCAAGUGUACAUGGAGUAGUAUCAUUAUUUGUAUCACUUGUGGCAUCAUCAUCAAUCUUGUCAAGUGAGCUUGUGGUAGACCGAUCAUCAUCAUCACUUGACCAUGAGGUGGAGCAAUCCUCCACAACCACGGUGUUGUGGUCAUGCUCAACAUCCUCAUGUGCCUCCACCUUUGGCACAUCAUCAUCAUCAUCAUCGGAGAUUGCCCCAUAUUUCUCAUUGAGAAAUACCCAAAUCUCAUGGGCGGUCUUCAUGUCAAUGAUCUCUCCGAAUAUGCAAUCAUCCAAAGAUCUAUACAUGAUGUUAGUAGCUUGGAUGUCUAGAUCUAGGCAUUUCUCUUGUGCUUGAGUUAGAUCAUUUUCAUCCAACACAUGAGAAAAGCCUACAUCUACCAUCCACCACAUUUGAGGAGAAAUAAACAUAAAAUUGCAUUGCAUCCAAUUUCUCCACCGUGCAAAGUGUGUGCCAUCAAAAGAGUGUGGACACUCAACAUCUAGCCCAUAAGCCGCCAUCCUCUCGGGUCGGUGAAGACCACAAAUGAUAGACCUAGCUUUGAUACCAAUUGAAGGGUCGAGAUGGCGGACUAGAGGGGGGGGUGAAUAGUCCUUUCUAAAACUUAUCGCGCCGGCUAACCGAAACAAAUGCGGAAUUAAAACUAUCGGUCUAGCCAAGACUACACCCCUCUAUCUAAGUUCUCUAGCACCUUGCAAAGAACAUAAACAAGCAAGCAAGGUGCUACCUUAGCAAGAGCUCACCUAACCAAUCCUAGGAGCAAGGUCACACAAACCUAUGCCACUAGUACUUUGCAAACCGGGGGAGCUCCUACACAAACUAGUGAGGCAAAGCGCACAAAGCCUAAGCUCACUAGCAAGCUCAAUAACAAGGCAACUAAUGCCAAAUUAGAGAGUGCAACUUAAUUAGCUACACAAACUAAGCAAUGUGACUAACAAGGUUACACAAACCAAAUUAGUCAUGCAAGGGAACUACUUCUAGCUACACAAGCAAGAAGGUAACUAGCAAGCUACACAAGCUAACUAAUUACAAGAACAACUACACAAGAACAAGUAUACUAAAAGUAAAUACAAGCUUGUGUAAAGUGAAUGCAAACCACCGAGAAGAGUAGACAAUGUUGACACGGUGAUUUUUACCGAGGUUCACUUGGUUGCCACCAAGCUACGUCCUCGUUGUGGCGAUACACCCACUUGAUGGAUCACGAGCUAAUUGGCAUUCCAAAGCCAAACCCUCAGCGGGUGCCGCACAUCCACUCUCAAGAUGGGGAUCCUCCAAGCCACAAGCAAUCCACUAGAGUUGCUCCUCGCGAUCCCCGCGGGGUGAGCACCGUACCCCUCACAAUAUCUUCUCCGGAGCACCGCACAAUCUCCUUGCGUGCUUCGACGGAGUCACAAGCCACCAAGCAGUCUAGGAGGUGGCAACCUCCAAGAGUAACAAGCACCACCGGCUUGCAACACGAACAUCUAGUGCCACUCGAUGCAAUCUCUCAAUGCAACGCACUAGAAUCGCUCACUCACACAAUCGGAUGAACACUAUCAAGCAUAUGUGAGUUAGAGGCUUCACUAGCACUCCCCAAGCAUGGACACUAAGUCCUAAGGGUCCUCAGCACCGGCCAAGGCCGGCCACAACUUCUAUUUAUAGCCCCAAGGGCUAAACUAGCCGUUACCCUUCACUGCGCAAAAGUCGACCACACCGGACGCGUCCUAGUUCACACCGGACGCGUCUGGUAUUGACCAGACCAGCGUCCGGUGCUCUUGACCGUUAGAAAACUAGCCGUUGCCUCUAACACUGACAGGGCACCGGACUCUAGCUUUUGAAAUACCGGACGCGUCCUAGUUCACACCGGACGCGUCCGGUGUGCACCGGACCCAAACUCAGAGAGCGUCGCAAACUUGAGUCAACACCGGUCGCCACACCGGACGCACACACCGGAUGGUCCGGUGUGCACCAGACUCACACCCAGAGAGCUCUGCAAGAGGAGUUUGCACCGGACGCCAACUCGAACGCGUCCUAGUUCACACCGGACGCGUCCGGUGUGCACCGGACGAAAACUCAGAGAGUUUCACCGAGAAACGAACUCACCGGACGAGGCACACCGGACUCUAUGCGAAAACUGUUUCCGCGUCUGGUGCCUCCACUCGGACGCGUCCGACCUCAUACCGGACGCGUCCGGCCUGAACGCGCUGCACGAAAAGAACUCCAACUUCUUCCCUUGCUUCCAUGUGCCAACACCAAAGUGUCUUCACACUUGUGCACGUGUGUUAGCAUUUUCUCAAACAUUUUUCCAAGGGAGUUAGCCUCUCAAUCUUGCCACGCCACUUGAUCCUAACAUGUAUGCAAAGUUAGAUCGCUCAAGUGGCACUAGAUGACCGAUAUGCAAACAAGUUUGCCCCUCUUGAUAGUACGACCAUCUAUCCUAAAUCCGGUCAUAAACUUCUCUACACACCUAUGACCGGUGAAAUGGAAAUGCCCUAGGUUAUACCUUUGCCUUGCGCUUUCCAUUCCAUCUUCUCCAAUGUUGAUGCAACACAUGCACCAACCAAUCACCAAAUGAUAUGAUUCACUUCAUAUCAUCACGUGACCAUAUUGGUUCAUCGAUCUUGACCUCACUUGCUCUUCACCGUUGCCUUGGUCCAUCGGCGCCAAGUCUUGCUCAAGCUUCACCGUCACACGCGGUCCCUCGCUUCAAAGCCUCCGACUUGCCCUUCACUCUUGCAACCGGUCCAUCAAGCCAAGCCUCAUCUUGAUCUUCUCCACCUUGGUCACAUGACUCCAUGUCAUGUCUCAUAUGCAAUGAGCUCCUUCAUCACAUCAUCACCUGUGGACUAAUCUCCUGUGUAUCUCACACAAACACUAUUAGUCCACCUAAGUUGUCACUCAAUUACCAAAACCAAACAAGGACCUUUCAUGUUCAGACAGCGAGAGGACACCUAUGCACAGAUGAUGGUGGCUGUUCGCCAGGCUCAGGACACCUAUGCACAGCGAGAGUUCAGACAGCGAGAGGACACCUAUGCACAGAAGGCUGAAAAGCGUGCUCGCAAGUUUCGCAAGCAAACCAGACUCCUGGAGCAAGCCCAGAAGGACCGCAAUGACUGGAAAGACAUUGCGGAGUACCAUAGGCAGCAGUGGGUGAAGUCCAUUAGAGAGAGAGAUCACAAGCAGGAUCAAAUGAGUCAGUUGGCUAGGGAGAGGGAGACAGUGCAGGAGCGUUUGGUGCAGAUCACUCGUGAGAGGGAUACUGCGCUCCGUGUGUCGGAGAACAGGCGCCGGGCAUGGGAGAUGCACCGGAUUCAGUCGCUUGAGCGGGAGAACUAUCUGCAGGAUCAGAUUGAGGCUGGUCUUGUGGAGAUUCACCGUCUCAACAACUUUCUACACCCUAUUCCUCGCCCUAUACCUGUGUACCCGGAGGUGGGACCUUAGGUGAUUGUGGCUGAUGAUGAUGGUAUGGAGGUAGAUGGACCAGCAGCAGCUGCACCACCCUUGCACGAGGACGUGGAGGACGAGGAGCUUGAGCCGGUUAGCGACGAGGAUGGAGAGGCGAUCUUCGACGCUGACUCGGACGACGAGCCUGGAGUGUAGUGGGUAGUUGUUAUGUGAGGAUCUUUUGUAGUAUGACUUUUAGCAGUUGUGCUUUUGUAAUCAUGUUGUAAUCCGGAACCUUGAUCUUUGACUUAUGUCAUGUACUGGGAUGGUGUAAUAAGUUUAUGGACCCAAUGUGUUAACUUUAUCAUGUUCGAUCAGUUGUGACGAUGUUUGUCCGUUGUUGUGCAUAUUGCGGAUAUCUGUGUCAUGUGUUGGAUUGGUGAUGUUGUUUUGUGGAAUUGAAUUAUUGUGCCUUUUCUAUAAAGUCGUUCUCUCGAAUACUUUUAGGAAUGAAUAUAAGUUCUUCUACGGCAAAUCUUCUCAUCAUCAAUGCUCACUAACUAUGUCUUUACAAAUGUCUCGUGGCACUCGAGGCGCGGAACAACGUGUGAACAUGAACCCACCCCCUCCUCCUCCACCACCAAAUCCAGCUAAGCUGAUGCAAAUCAUGGUAGAAAAUCAGAGGAUGCUUACUGAGACCAUCAAUCGGAUGACAAAUUAGGGUGGUCGGAAAACACAGGAUGAGCCAGCACCCAACCAGUACAGUAGCUUCAAGGAUUUCAUGGAUACUAAGCCCCCAUCUUUCAAAGAGGCUGAAGAACCCCUUCAAGCUGUGGAGUGGUUGAACACGGUGGAACAGAAGUUCCGCUUGUUUCGGCCGACUGAGGGUUUGAAGGCUGAGUAUGCAGCUCACCAACUGUAGGGAAUCAGUAUCGGGAGGCUCUCCCAGACAAUACUGUGCUUGACUGGAAUCUUUUCCGUGAAGCUUUCAAGGGGCAUUUCAUACCUCCUGGUGUUAUGGAGAUGAAGCACACUGAGUUCAUGCAGUUAACUCAGGGAAACAAAACUCUGAAGGAGUAUUUGCAUGCUUUCAAUCAUCUGUCUAGGUAUGCUCCGGAGUUUGUGAACACGGAGGCGAAGAAGAUUGCUAGCCUCAAGCGGGGUCUUGGCUCCAAGUUGCUGAAGACUAUGGGUCGCACUAAGUGUACGACUUUCAAUGAGUUUGUCAGUGAUGCUCUCACCCAAGAGAACUACAACACUGUGUACACUGCAACCAAGACUCGCAAGAGGGCUUUUGAAGCCGGGGCAGGGGCAUCUCAGUCCAAGGCUCCAGUGGCGGCUAGGCCACAGUAUCGUGCUCCAACUCCUAACCAGCGAUAUCGCCCUCCAGCAAAGAAGAAUCAGGCGAAGACGGGUUUCCGCAAGGGUUACUCUAUUGCUCUUCCUAGGGGCAACACGGGUCCCAGCUAUGCCAAGACUCCACCUGCCAACCGUCCGUGCUGGAACUGUAAUCAAACCGGGCACUGGCAAAGCAACUGUCCCUACCCACCAAAGAAGUGCAACCAAGGGAACGUCCGCCAGGGGCGUGUUCACUACACAACUGUGGAAGCAUUCCCUGCUGGUGAGGUACUUACGGCUGGUAAGUUUCUGGUCAAUCAAUGUGAUGCACUUGUGCUUUUUGAUUCAGGAGCAUCGCAUUCUUUUGUGAGUUCGGACUUUGUGUCUAAGCAUAAUCUCAAGGCAAUUACACUUGAUAAGGGCAGUUAUUGCAUUAGUGCUGCUGGAAAUGAUAUUUCUACCAACCAAGUGGUUUUGGGGGCAACUCUGGAAUUAGGAGACCGUUAGUUUCUUGCUGAUUUGGUUGUUCUACCCGGUGUGGGUAUAGAUGUAAUUCUAGGUAUGAAGUGGAUGAGUGGCAACGGAGUUCUUAUCGACACCACCACUGGGGUAGUGAUGUUGAGAGACCCGAAUACCAAAGAGGCAUUCUUAGUGCAACUUCCUCGAGAUAUUCAUAUCCGUAGCACGAUGAAUGCAGUUACAUCUAGGGCCAUCAAGGAUAUUACGGUUGUGUGUGAGUUCCCAGAUGUAUUCCCUGAUGAUUUGCUCGAGCUUCCUCUAGAUCGGGAUGUGGAGUUCAAAAUUGAAUUGAUCCCAGGUACUGCUCCUAUCUCUAGAAGACCCUACAGAAUGCCACCAAAUGAGCUAGCUGAGCUUAAGACCCAACUGAAUGAGUUGUUAAAGAAGGGUCUUAUCCGUCCUAGGUCUUCUCCUUGGGGUUGUCCGGCUAUCUUUGUGAAUAAGAAGGAUCAGUCCUUGCGCAUGUGUGUGGACUAUCGUCCUCUGAAUGCGGUGACCAUCAAGAAUAAAUACCCUCUUCCUCGCAUUGAUAUCCUGUUUGACCAGUUGUCUAAAGCCAAGGUAUUCUCCAAGGUUGAUUUACGAUCUAGGUACCAUCAGAUCAAGAUCCGUCCUGAAGAUGUACCUAAGACAGCUUUCUCGACAAGGUAUGGGUUGUAUGAGUAUCUCGUCAUGUCCUUCGGUCUCAUGAAUGCACCUGCUCACUUCAUGUAUCUCAUGAAUUCGGUGUUUAUGCCUGAAUUAGACAAGUUUGUGGUGGUCUUCAUUGAUGAUAUCUUGGUAUAUUCCCGUAAUGAAGAAGAGCAUGCAGAGCAUCUGCGUAUAGUGUUGUCGCGCUUGCGUGAGCAUCAGCUUUAUGCUAAGUUCAGCAAAUGCGAGUUUUGGCUGAAGAAAGUACCUUUCUUGGGCCAUGUCUUGUCUGAAGAAGGUAUCUCGGUGGAUCCGGCUAAGGUGCAAGAAGUGCUGGAUUGGAAAGUUCCAACUUCGGUGCACGAGGUCCGGAGUUUUCUCGAUAUGGCUGGGUAUUAUCGUCGAUUCAUUUCGGAAUUCUCAAAAAUAUCCAAGCAUAUGACUCGCCUACUUCCGAAAGAUGAGAAGUUUGUGUGGACGCCUGAGUGUGAAGAGGCAUUCCACAAGUUGAGGACAUUGCUGACAUCAGCUCCUGUUCUAGCUCAGCCUGAUAUUGAGAAGCCCUUCGAUGUCUUUUGUGACGCGUCGGGUAUUGGUUUGGGCUGCGUGUUGAUGCAAGAAGGUCGCGUUAUCGCAUAUGCCUCACGCCAACUUAGAAAACAUGAGGUCAAUGUUGACGGUCCUUAAGUAUCAAAUUUAAUUGUCAAAUAAACAAAGAAAAGGAUCCAAAUGAAAUCAACAUCUAGACUUAGGGUUUAUCUGAUAGAAUUCCACGAGUUUUGGUGUUUGUCUAUUUCUGCAGGGGGUUAUCAGGAAAUACGGAAGAAAGGCCCACACGUCAGGAUUACAUAGAGAUAUUAACGUGCCGCGCAAUUAUCUUACAUCUAGAAGACUCCAGAAGCCACGGGAAGGAAGCGGAGGCCGAACGGGGCCAGGCACUGGGCGCCCGCCCAGUUGCCCUGGGCGCCCGCCCCCUCUCUGAGUCCAAUCAAGACUCUCUCUUGGGACUAAUCUCCACCGACCUAAAGGAUCAAGGAUAAUCGUUCAAUCUAUGUCGGUUUGAUCCAACGGCCUAUAUUCACUUGAAGGGACUAUAAAACCAGACCCCUUGGCCCCUGGAGGAGAGAGCCUCUCAACCCUAAUUCAUUAUUCUCAAGGGAGAAGAAGCCUCUGAUCAAGAUUAGAGCCACCACAUCAAUUAGAUCUCUAGAUUAGCAUAGCUACAUAUGAUUAGAACUAGAAGGAGUCAAUCUUCGAUUGGUUUCCAGAUCUGUCAAGAGGAUUCUUGGUAAUUCUUUAAUUGUGAUUCUAAUUGAUUUUCUAAUCAUCUUGGUUCUUCAAUAUUAUGAAUAUGACUUUGUUUUACUUCAAUAUAUUGCUUAUGACUUUGCUCUACUUGCUUAUAUUCAAGAUUAUAUUGUUCUUAGUUCAUCAUAGUUAUGUACUUGGCUUAGUUAGAUUGGAUCUAUAUACAUGCUUAGGAUCGUAUAGAGUUUAUCCAUCGGAUCCAUGGGUAAAUGAUAGAUAUUGUGUAGGCGUGGUGCUUAUACCGUAUUUAUCUGCAAUUGUACCCAAUAUGCCAGAUCGUGGGGUAGUUCGUGAUAGUGACAGCUUCAUUGAUUCUUAUAUAGUCCCCCUCUCGUGUAUUGGGCUGGCAGAGCAAUAUUAUUACAGGGGAGUGAUUGCUAUGUUUCUCAUUUACCUUGCUAAUAUCACUAUGCAUGGGCGUAGUCUUGUCUCGCAAUGAUUGCUAAGUAUACUUGCACUAACUAUGAUAAUGCUAGACUAUAUAGUUGAGAAUAACUUAGGGAAUAUUCUUGUAGUUCGUUCUAAUACAAUGCACUAACUAUCAGAUUAAUUAUCUUUGUCACUAUUCAUUACUUCAUAUACCUUUUAUGUUACAGUUACCCCUGUAUGAAAGAGUUAGAUAAAUGUUCUCAAUUAUACAUGCAAUGAUAGAUACUAAAUCUCAUAUUCUAUUUUGUAAUCAAUAUUGAUGAUUGUUAAUCCCUUCCCGGUGGUAAAAAUAUAAAUAACGAUACCUGGAAUACUUCCCGGUUAAAAUGCUACAUCGGUAUUAAUCUGUGCACUUGCAUAUCUCAUUCAUUAUUUAUUUAGAAGAGCAAUUGCAUAUUUCAAUACCGCGUCUCUCAUAUCAUGCUAGGGAUGACAACUUGGCUUAAGUGGUGUGAGGGAUUGGUUUGGCAUUUUUGGCACCAUUACUAGAAUUAGAAAACUGUGUACUUUUGGUAAUGAUGUUAAGAAUACCCAACAGACAUUUUUGGCGCCGUUGCCGGGGAAGGUUGAUUACUAAUCAGGAAUGAAUAUAGGAUUUUGAGUUAUCAUUCGCAUCACUAAUAUGAUUGAGCUUAUUAAUUCUCUCAUACAGUUUUACCCCGAUAUUUUCCUAUUUUAUCUUAUGCAGAGGAAUGUAUGAAUAGAAGACAUCUUCUAGGAAAUUUUGUUGACAAUCCCGAAGCGUUAUUUAGAAAAACGAGAGCCAAGCUCAAGAAGAGAUCAUCAACACUUCGGCAAGAAGCUUCAUCCAAUCAAGAAGAUCACCGAAACUUUUCUUCAGAGUUAGAAGCUAUGGCGAAGAAACUGAUCCGUGAGUUCUCAGCUCCCACUACAGACAACAUCCGCACUGGACCUGCUGCAGAGAUCGAUGGCAACUUUGAGCUCAAGCCUGGACUAAUCAACAUGGUGCAAUCCAACCAGUUCUGUGGGAAGGCACACGAAGAUGCUAGUGCUCAUCUCCAACACUUCCUGUAGAUUUGCAACACAUUUACCAUAUCAGGAGUCCCCAGAGAUGCUAUACUACUUUGCCUCUUCCCAUUCUCACUGUUAGGGAUAGCGAAGCAGUGGUUCUACGCUACAAAGGAGAAGAAUACUACGUGGGCCCUUUGCUCAACAAACUUCCUGGCUAAGUUCUUUCCCAUGGGCAAGACCAAUGCUCUCCGUGGGAAGAUUACAAGUUUUCAGCAAUAAAAUGAUGAAUUUGUUCUAGAAGCAUGGGAGCGCUUCCAAGACUACAUCCUAGAAUGUCCCCAUCAUGGAAUGGAGAGCUGGCUACUAAUGCAGAAGUUUUAUCAUGGGCUCGGCAACAGUGCCCGAGAGACCAUGGAUGCUGCAGCUGGAGGAGCAUUUUUAUCACUUACCAUACCACAAGCCACCGUUCUUGUGGAGAAGAUGGCGUCCAACCAAAGCUGGAAUGAAGAGAGAACCCAGACACGCAAGAAAGGUGGAGGUAUGCAUCAGCUCAAGGAGGUAGACAUGCUGUCUGCAAAGCUAGACCUGCUCAUGAAGAAGCUCGACGAUAGAGCUGGAGACAAGAAAGAAGUUAUGCACAUCUAUGACUCUCACAUGACUUGUGAGGAGUGUGGAGAUACUGGACACUCAGGCAAUCACUGCCCUGAGAUACUUGAGGAUGUGAACUACAUCAACAACAACAACUACUACUACUACAAUCAUCCUCAACAAAAUCAAGGUUGGAAUCAACAGAGGCCUAACUACUCAGGUAAUUAUCAAGGUAACAAUUCUUACAAUAAUACUAAUAAUUUUCCACCUUUGAGAGAGUUAGUGUCUAAUCAAGGAAAGCUAAUGCAUAACCUAUCUAAGAAAUUGGCAUUUAAUGAUAAAAUGCUAGAAAAUAUAAAUAAUAGAAUGGAUAAUUUCUCUACUGCCAUCAAGAAUCAAAUUAGCUUUAAUAAAAUGAUUGAAUCUCAGUUAAAUCAAAUAGCUGCUGCUGUUCCUACUACUAACCCCGGUAUACCAUCACAACCGGAAGGAUUAGAAUCUGCAAAUCUUGUAGACAUGUUUGAUGCAGGUAAUUGGAGUAACACCGUCACUGAAGUUACUACUGACCUUCUGCCGGUCAAGAGAGGUGAUCCAGGACGCCCCGUCAUCCCGAUCUCCAUCGGCAUGGUGGACGUCACAGAAGCACUCUGCGACUUUGGUUCUAGCGUAACCAUUAUACCUAGGGUACUCUAUGAAAAAUUCUUUACAUAUCCUUUAUUAGAGACAACCAUGUGUUUGCAGUUUGCAGAUCAGGCAUUAAGUUUUCCAAAAGCAAUAUUGAAGAACCUUUGUGUCCGAGUUGGUACCUUGUAUGCCCUAGCUGACUUCGUAGUGAUAGAGACCGGUAAUGAUGAGAGGGCACCCAUCAUCUUAGGGAGGCCAUUCUUGAACAUCUCUGGAGCUGUCAUCUAUGCCAGUGCUGCCAAGAUCAGUUUCUACAUCAAAGGGAAGAAGGAGACGUUUUCCUUCAAGAACAAGACUACACAAAUCCCAGAGCAAUCUAGACGUGAAUCAAGGAAGAGGACCAAUAGGAGGAACAGUAACAAGCAAGUGUGGACUGAGUCAGCUAAGAUGGUCACUGCAGUUCAUGGAGGUCAUGAUCAUCAAGUUAAGUCACCAUUUUUGACCAAGAAGGACGACCCAGGAAUGCCAAGCAUCUACUGCUCCAUAAAUGGAUACAACUUCUACAAGACGACUUGCGACACCGGAUCGGGCGUCAACAUAAUGGCCGCAGUCACCUAUCGACUCUUGUUCAGAACCAUGCCCUUAAAACCAACAUACAUUCAGCUCCAGAUGGCAGAUCAAACGUUUCGAGAAGUUAAAGGAACAGUAACUGAUGUCCCUGUCAAAAUAGACGAUCAGGUUAUAGACAUGAGAGAAGACGAAUACAAUCCACCCAUCAUCAUUGGAAGACCGUUCCUCAGCACCAUUAAAGCAAUCAUCUAUAUUGGAACCGGAGAAGUCCAUAUGCACUUCCCCUCAUAGAAGGUACGCCGCUAUUUUACUGACCCUAACUAUAUCGUUGAAGAAUCUAAGCAGGUCAGAAAACGACGCAACCGCAACCAGAGGAGGGAAAUCAUCAAGGACGGAUGGGCAGACAAUGAAGGAGAAGUUGUAAGGUCAGCAGACGUACAGUUUAAACAGAAUUAUCUAGAGGAGACCAUAGCACCGAGUCAGGUAUGGGGAGAGAAGAUAACUAUACAUGAAGAGGAGGCGCCGCCGGAAGUACCGGCUACGCCACCCAACGAACCUCAGGACAAUUGAGAAAACGGAGAGUCCCAUUUGGAGAACUUAAAAACACCGAACUCCUUGCCAAGAGGUAAACUUGGUAGUUAUCCUUUCCCUUUCAAUUAUUUCAAAAAGUUUACUUAGUUAAUCAUGUUCGUACUAUCCUAAAAAGAAAAUAAAAAUGUGAAACAGUAAGCCCCAUGUGAGUAUACAAGUGCCAUAAAACCCAUAAGUACAUUCAUUGUGGUGGCAUAAAAAUAAAAUAAAAAUUUCUUUUCUGCUUUAUAAAAUGAAAAUAUAAAAAUAGGGAGCAAUAAUUAUUAAGGAGUCUCAACAUGAUAAAGGCUAGAUAUUUAUGCUAACACUUAAUCAGUUCCACAAGCUUUGUUGUCUAUUUGAGCCCCACAGAAUCUAAGAAUCAAGAAGACUAGCAGACGGAGGACAUUCUAAUCGCUGUCAGAAUGCUGCUGACUUUUAAAUACACCUCUGCCACCUGCUAGCUACAUCAAGAGAAAUUACGUCAAAAUUCAGCUUGGGGGAGAGCACCCCCAUUUAUCCCGCUAAGUAUUUCUAUCUAUCUUUAUACUUACACUAUAUUAAAAUAUAGAUAUACAUAAUUAUGGAAAAAACCAAAUAAAGAUUUUGUGCUUAUAUAUAUAUAUAUAUAUAUAUAUAUAUAUAUAUAUAUAUAUAUAUAUAUAUAUAUAUAUAUAUAUAUAUAUAUAUAUAUCUUUUGCUUAGUGUGUUUAAUAAAUAAAUAAAGUGGCUAUGCUAAUCUGAAUCUUAAUAAUAAAACUCAAGCAUGGAUAUGAUGAAUAGUUGCUCUGCCUAAUCUUUAAAUUUGAAAUUCUUUCUCAAGUUUAGACAUAACCGUUAUAAUUUAAAACUUGCUCUAAAUUUGAACUUGUGGGAUGAAAACUUGAUCUGAAGUCUAAGUUGUUAACGGAUAUGAUAUGGGAAGGUUGAGCUGCUGUUUAUUUGUUCUUAGAGAUGCUAGAAUUCUGGAGAAUUUUAUCUUUGAAAAUCUUUAAAAUAUUACAUGAUGAGUUCCUGUAUGAUGAGAGUUUAAAUUCCUAUCACAGCCAUAUAUACAUGCUUGCUAGACUUUGAGCCGCAUAUUUACUAUUUACUGCUUAUGAGCAUUGAGUGUGGUCAAGCUGUGUAGACCCUUAGGAGCUUGUCAUGUGGUUAAAUCGAGAUUCACUUGCACGUUCACUCACAUAUGCUGCUUCUACUCCGGAAGUACCAUCCACAUAUAUCCAUUCAUUUCCAUUUCCAGAAUCACCUAAAAAUAUUUUACUUCUGAUCCAGGAGAGAAUAGCCAAAAACAUUUUUGUUUUUCCCCUGUGAAAUAAAUGCUCGAGUUAUCUUGUUACUACCACUUGCUAUAUUAUCUCAAGAGAUGAGUGCUCUAAAAAAAAGAAAAAAAGAAAAAAGUAUACGAGGAAGUAAAAAGGGGCAAGUGCCCGGAACCUCGAAAGAAAAGAAAAAGUGAGACGAGAGGUAAAAAUGGACAAGUGUCCGAUAGUAGAAUUAGGGGUACAAGAUACCCACCUGAGAGAAAAGAAAAAGAAGAGCAUCUCAUUCUCCUCAUAAAGUUUCAAAAAGCAAGGAAGGUAUGUAUUCCCUCAAAAGAGCAAAAGUAGAAUUAGACUUUCACCAUUGUUAUCACCAUCAUCACUGUUGACGGUCCUUAAGUAUCAAAUUUAAUUAUCAAAUAAACAAAGAAAAGGAUCCAAAUGAAAUCAACAUCUAGACUUAGGGUUUUAUCUGACAGAAUUCCAUGAGUUUUGGUGUUUGUCUAUUUCUGCAGGGGGUUAUCAGGAAAUACGGAAGAAAGGCCCACACGUCGGGAUUACAUAGAGAUAUUAACAAGCCGCGCUAUUAUUUACAUCUAGAAGACUCCAGAAGCCAUGAGACCGAAGCGGAGGCAAAACGUGGCCAGAGGCAGGGCGCCCGCCCUGUUCCCCUAGGCGCCUGCCCUCUCUUAGAGUCCAAUCAGGACUCUGUUUCUCGGGAGAUCUCCACCGACCUAAAGGAUCAAGGAUAACCGUCCAAUCUAUGUCGGUUUGAUCCAACGGCCCAUAUUCACUUGAAGGGACUAAAAAACCAGACCCCCUGGUCCCUGGAGGAGAGAGCCUCUCAACCCUAAUUCAUUAUUCCUCAAGGGAGAAGAAGCCUCUGAUCAAGAUUAGAGCCACCACAUCAGUUAGACAUCUAGAUUAGCAUAGCUACAUAGGAUUAGAACUAGAAGGAGUCAAUCUUCGAUUGGUUUCCGGAUCUAUCAAGAGGAUUCUUAGUAAUUCUCUAAUUGUGCUUCUAAUUAUUCUUAUAAUUAUCUUUGUUCUUCAAUAUUAUGAAUAUGAGUUUGUUCUACUUCAAUAUAUUGCUUAUGACUUUGCUCAACUUGCUUAUAUUCAAGAUUUUAUUGUUCUUAGUUUAUCAUAGUUAUGUACUUGGCUUAGUUAGAUUGGAUCUAUAUACAUGCUUAGGAUCGUAUAGCGUUUAUCCAUCGGAUCCAUGGGUAAAUGAUAGAUAUUAUGUAGGCGUGGUGCUUAUACCGUAUUUAUCUGCUAUUGUAUCCAAUAUGCCAGAUCGUGGGGUAGUUCAUGAUAGUGACAGCUUCAUUGAAAUUCGUGUAUUGGGCUGGCAGAGCAACAUUAUUACA